rnacentral:lncRNA from 1 species
AAACGGUAGCGAGCUAAACUCACUGACUUGAUCCAAUAAGAGUAAGAACAAACAAUAGAUCCGGAUUCCACACGUUGCUGUGGACUGGGGAGAGAGCUGCUCUGGGCGUUCAGUGUUCUUAUGGCUUUGUUGUACUCGCCAAAGAAUGCAAGCCACUUAAUGAAAAAGGGAGCGGUAGGCCUUCAAAAAGGAGCGAGGGAGUGAUGGGCAACCUCUAGAUGUUGCUCGGUGAGCCGCCAAGUACCAGUCUUACAAGAGUACAGGCGUUAAAGGACUCUAAUUCAUUGCCUUCACUUGCGACGAGUAGAACUCACUCUCUUGCCACGCCUUUCACUCACUCACUUCAGUCUCCCUCAAUCACUGCUUACUUUUGGGCGUUCUUUAACUCUCUUGCUAUUACCCGCAGAGAGGUUCAUAUUCUCAUAUAUCAUAUAUAAAGAAGCGUAGCUCUAUGUUUUACAGGCUACCCGCAGAGAGCGUCGACGGUGCAUAUUAUCAUAUAUAAAGAAGCGUAGCUCUAUGUUUUACAGGCUACCAUCAAAGUUUCGCUAACCGACAGGCAAUGGAGUCAGCUUACGGGGUGGGGCGCAAGCAAGCGUAGCGAAUCACAUAUAGUUGCGCAGAUAUCAAAAGGGCGGCUAGAAGGGAUGGAUGUCUGAGCGGUUUAAAGAGUCGGUCUUGAAAACCGAAGUAUUGAUAGGAAUACCGGGGGUUCGAAUCCCUCUCCAUCCGCGAACAAAUAAGUUCUCUCUUGCAUUAUCCAUAGAUAAGAACGAAUCGACUGAUAUGAUAGAUGCAAUGGCUAGGCUAUACUUCUCCGGUUUUUUUGUGUUGAUUUAGUUAGGACACCUUGUAUCCCUAGAGUUUUCUUCCGCCCCGGGUAGAUCAUCUGUGGGAGCUAAGAUAUUGAGAUAGAUAAGCGUCGAUAUUGAGAUAGAGAAUAUAUAAGGAAGGAAAGAGGGGAGUUGGCUGAUAAAGAAGGACAGUAUAGAUUGCGUAAUAACCAUUUUCGCUCUUCAAUUCUCAGCUAUAUAGGGGACUUGGAUGGUGAGCAAAAACAAUUGAUCAAUAAAUUGGUCAACUUUCGCAUGAUCGAUGGUAAAAGAACGAGAGUUCGUGCUAUUGUGUAUCAAACUUUUCAUCGCCCAGCAACUAGUAUUUCAGAACGCGAUGUCAUCAAACUUAUGGUUGACGCCGUAGAUAAUAUAAAGCCUAUAUGCGAAGUGGUAAAAGUAGGAGUAGCUGGUACAACUUAUGAUGUACCUGGGAUUGUAGCCAGGGAUCGUCAACAAACCUUAGCUAUUCGUUGGAUCCUUGGAGCAGCUUUCAAACGACGUAUAAGCUACAGGAUAAGCUUAGAUAAAUGUUCAUUUGCGGAGAUACUGGAUGCUUACCGAAAGAGGGGAAUUGCACGUAAUAAAAAGGAUCAUCUUCAUGGACUGGCUUCCUCCAAUCGAAGUUUCGCGCAUUUCAGAUGGCGCUAAAGUUAUACCACUUCAAGAAAGAGAGCUCUUCCUCAUUCAGUCAUAUUCCUAUUGUCAGUCAGAUAUGGUUUACCCUUCUCCUUUUCCAUUGAAUUUCACAAAGAAAGAUAAGUAGGCGAACAUCUUUUCAUAAAUCAAUCUAGUAGGCGAAACACCCUUUUCAUUGAAUGAUAGAAUAUAAGUAAGGUUUUCCUUUUUCCAUGGAAUUUCACAAAGAUUGUAGGCCUUCCUCAUACUCCCCCCUUCAUUCAUUGAGUUGGAGGAAAGGAAUACACUGGAGGCCCGCCCGUCAUGCAUUGCAUAAAAUCACCUUUCUUUUCAUCAAAGAACACUCUUGUGCCUCAGGUCAAUGAAUACGAAAGGGCAAAUCAAUAGGCCAUGAUAAGUAGUUGGCACCUUCCUUCUAGUGACUCGUGGAGCUGAGAAAUCAAUCCAAGAUACUUCAAAGGGAGGGAAGCUAGGAUAGGAGUGCUAGUCCGAAAGGUCUCCUUUCCUUUUUCAGUCAGUUCCGCCCUUUACCUUUUUUCUGAUUAUUCUUAAGCAAGGUAUAGUGCUUGUCUUCAGGCUUACAGCUACAAAGUCUAAAUUAGUGCUUGUCCUCAGGCUUACAGCUAAAGGUAUGGGGUGCUUGUCUUCAGGCUUACAGCUAAAGGUAUAGUGCUUGUCUUCAGGCUUACAGCUAAAUAUAUAAACAGGAUUUGGAUCUUCUUUUAUGGUCCUCAGUAUGUAAGAUCACAGAAAUCAAGGUUUGUCAUUUCUGGAAUUUGGAAAGUUUGCUUUUACACACGGCCUUCGAGAACAAAGAAAGGAGAAAGGAAAGGUGUAGUUUCAAGAUCAGUGUUAACUCGCGUAAGCGCACAACUCAAUAGCUCCAACAACUAACGCACAAAAAAGGCUACGCCCUUGCUUGUUCCUAAGCUUGGCACUGACUAUUGGGCUUACUACCCUAACCGCAACUCUUGUUUGUCUCGCUUCUCUAUCAGACUGUGACUCUCCACUAAGGAUCCUACUACUAUUUAUUCAAACUAAUAUCAUUGGAACUAUACUACUACACCUAUUAGCCUGCUGCUUCAUACUUGGAUUCUUUCACUACUCUACUCUAUUACGAGCUUAAUUCUCAUACACUGGGGGAACCGUUCAUUCCUGUGCUCCUGGGUUUCAUUCUAUGGGGGCACCUUCUUAUUAUGAAUUGGAGACCACGGCUACUUAGUGCAUUUCUUAUACCCGGAUCUUCUACUUAUUCCUUUGAUUCCUAGCUCCGGGUUAGUAGGUAAGCCCUGUCAGCUUUGAUUCCUAGCUCCGGGUUAGUAGGUAAGCCCUGUCAGCACUAGAGUUCAAUCCUUAUAGGAGUCGUUCGGAUUCCCAUUUGUGAGUCGAAGGCUACUAGUUGAAAUACAUGCUUUAGGGCGGGGCUUGGAGAAAGUCUAGUAAGAACGGUAGUAAGUAAAGGUAGACUUGUAUUUCGGUUGGGGAUCACAGCACAGAGUUAGAAGGUGCUUCGGCCUUGUCAGCGCUAGCGCCAAUCUUGUUAUCGGCGAUUCAAUGAAGUAUUCUAAGAUAAGGUACGAGAAGCAGUAGUAAUAUUCUGAUAUUAGUAGCGGAAGGGUUAAGUACCAAAUACCAGAAUUAGAAACAGGAUUCAAACAAACAACUGGGGCUUCCCCUAAGGCCCUCGAACCGCAUCGAAGGAUACCUAACCUGUAUUUGCUUCUAGCACUACUGAUUUAGAUCUUUUCACUCCAUUCAAAGUCUCCUACUUCUUUCUCUUAGCCUGUAGAUCCUGUCUUGUAUUCUUUAGUUGGUGUCAUGGGCCUGUACUUGUUCCCGACAUGUCCGGCUAGAAACAACUAAUGCUCCCCCGGUCUAUCAUUCUGACUGUCCUGUCCAUUAUUCUUUGGCUUAGUUUACUUGUAUUGAUAAUGUUCAUUUUCCACUAAUAUCUUUCUAGGGAAGGAAAAUCAGAGGCAUAAGAGAUGGAGUAUGAGCUAUCAGGUAGAAGAGAAGACUUCUUUUCUUAGUAGUAAGAGGAUAGCGCAUCCAGCAAUAGACUAAAUAGUCAUAUUGGUAAGAAAGAAAAGAAAGAUAGAAUUUCACUCAUUAGUAGCAGAGCGAGAAACAGUAUAGUGAGAAUCAAAAGCAGUAAAGGCAGGCUGAGUUACCGGAAAGGCGGAACUUAACUAUCAGUACCAAGUUUGUAAGCUAGGGCAGACUGAUCUGAUCUACAGGGUAGUUUGCAUCAAAACCAGUAGAUAUGGAUGGAAAGUAAGGAAAGGUAGCUUUGAAGUCCGUCGAGGUAUAGCGACAGGAUCCCCGCCAACAGUUAACGAAUAAAAGUAUGGAGAUAAAGACUGCGAGUAGGGAGUUGUAGAACUAAAUGCAAGGUCGUAAGGCUGUUAAGUAGUAAAGCAAGGCUUGUUUCAAGUGAUUUCAGUCUCAGAGGUCGUGGGCAAGGGCUAAGUUCUCAGUGAAAGCAUUGUUCAGCAGGGGUUUGAUUUCUAGUCAAGUUAUACUGAUGGAUAGGAAAGUAAGCCAACAACUCUCAAUACAGAAUUUACAGAAGGCGUAGGUUUCCUUUGCUUGUUGAAAACAGUAAAGUAAUAAAAUCAUUGAAAUUGACUUUAGCCCGAACAAGGCUUAAACAUGAAAUGGAAUCUAUCUAUCUAUGAAGCGUAAGAGAACUCCGUAAAGUAAGCACAAGUAAAAGAAUGAAUUGAUUCUAUCGAGCAAGCCUUAGACACAAGCACCUUCAUCCCCGGCAUCUGAUCUUAUUGAAACUCUGUCUCCGGCCGGGCAUAUAUAUCUGUAGCUUCAAAUAGAGUAGACUUUAUUCGCACUCACAGAAAUAAGUAAUCAGUCCACAAAGAAACGGAACUUUAAGAACUGCUUUCUGCCCAACAUCGUUCCACUCCUGAGCAUGAUAAAAGAGAUGAGGGCUUCUAUAUAGGAUGAAACUUUCUAGUAGGAUGACACUCGAUAGGAUUAAACUCCACUAGAUUAUUCUUACCUGACUUCUCCAGCUGGAUUCUACUCUUUCUUUUUCUCUCGUCGACCCAGUAAUUAAGGGCACGGGAUCGGAUACUUCCAUUCCACAGGACUCGCUACUAACUCUGAUAAGUAGAACAAUGAAACUGAAACUACUAAGAAGAACACUCUUAAGGAAGAAUUCCAGUCAUUCCUACUACUCCGGAUAGAGACUAUUCUGCGCGGUUGCCCAGUAGCUUGGCCCCUUUCCUCAGACUUCACUCCUUGACAAAGAUACUAACUUCACUCUUUCACUCCUAACUCCUUUAUUUCAUACCAUACCUAUAUCUCUUCUCUUCUUGCCAGUCAAUACAGUCGUUUUUGAUUCUCACUUGACCGUAGUUCCGACUUAUAGUAGUUAUAAUAGUACUUACCUUAGUUUCGAUUUGAUUCUAUAUCGGGUUUAUUCUGACUUGAUAGUUUUCUACCUUCCGAUUUGAUUCUAUAUAUUUGAUUCGAACGUUCUGUUCUCUACCUUCUGGUUUGAUUCUAAUAUAGUAGUUCCGAUCUUCUAGCUGCUUGAGUUUAGUCUCUUCUCUCUCUAUUAUCUCUAUUGAGGUAACUACAUUCCUCUAUUCAAAUAGUGCCCCAUUUCGCCAUGUUGUUCCCUCGCUACUAUUAUGGAGGAUUCUGUUUCUGAACUCCCCUCAUUCUGUUUCCUAUAGCUUCGAGUUCAAUUCAAACUUUCCUACUGACUUGUGAGUGAAAUUCUGACCCGUGCUCUGUUACUACUGAGUUCAAUUCGUAUUAAUACUCCCCUGAUUAAGUUUAUUCCACCAGUCCCCUGUAUUCGUAGCCUCUGCCUAUGCAAGUAAAACAUCUGUCUCUGUCCUUUAUGAUAUGAAAGUAGUUGUCCUGGUAGUAGUAGCACCGGUAGCAGGGCGGCUAGUCAAUUGAAUGAAACAAGCCAACACCCUUCUUUUCGAUUACUUAGUUAGCGGGCUGUAAACAAACCCAUCUUACUCUAAGUUUGACCUAUGCAGCAAAGGCAGACUUCAUAGAUAGUAGAUAGAGGCUGAGAUAAAGGAGUGAAAGGUUGAAGCCGACGAGUGAAUGCUAAAACUCCAACAAUAGAAAUAAAGACAGGAAUGCCAGGGAUAAGUAGAAGACUAGCAGUCCAAACAAAUAGGAUCUCUGUAUAUCGAGUGACAUUCUUGGACUACCGGGUUUCGUUACGUAGUGAAAGGCAAAGUUCCCAGCUUAACGCUUAGAGGUAGGGGUGUCGGGCCAACACUCGCACAUAGUACUUUAGGACAGUCAUUGGUGGUUCAAUUCCAAUGUAGUGGGGGUUGUUAUCAGAGCUGAGCUCAUCGAAUACAGACUUAUGGCUAGACACGGGAGACUCAAAUUAAGGUGUAUCAGGCUCGGUUGGUGGGUUAUAAGUCCAAUAAGUACUAGUGGAAUUCUCCUUUUCUUGUGUCAUUCCAAUUGGUAUUAGUAUCAGCUUGAAAGCAAGGCAAUGCAUACUAACAUCAAGGGAGGGCGCAGACUUCAUCCACUAAUACGGAUGUGAGGUCGGGAGAUACAUAAUGAAAUACCUUAGCUAUAGACCGAGAGCUAGUAAACUGAGAGUCAAAGGAGGGAAAGUAAGCCUAAAGCCCAUAAACAAGGAUUAGAUAAAGCACAGUGCCAGGCUAACAGGCGUAAGUAAAAGAAUCAAUCCCCACUUAAAGAGUGAUUUUGACUUCAAACCUCCAUCGUUCACUUAUAUAGAACUCGCCUUUUUUGCCCCAAAGUGCUACUUCUUUUCUGUUUUUUUGAUACUUUACGCUUUCUCUGUAUCCUUCCCUUUCGGGUGGUCGGUCGUGCAUCGAUGGUCCCACACCCCCAUGCAUAGAACGUGCCUUGCACACUCUUUGAGCUCGGGGCUACGAAUAGGGAUUUUACUUAACGAUAACGAAUAGGGAAAGGGGUGUGACUUAACGAUAACCAAUAGGGAUGGGACUUAAUGAUAACAAAUAGGGAUGUUAUUUUACUUAACGAUAACGAAUAGGGAUGUUAUUUGUACGCCGCAACUGAUCUACAAGAAUAAGAAAAGAACUCCCGUUUUUAAGAGCUGUUUUCAAUGACAAAUAAGAAUUCCAUUAUAGCAGUAAACCCGCAUAGAAGGUUAGAAAGAAGGAGUAUAUAGUUUAUUACAAAUAAGAAUUCAAUGAAAGAAAGGUCUUAAUUACUGAUUGGAUUCUGAUCAGUAGUAGCUCCUUUCCUAGUUUUGGAUUCUGGCGAGUUAAGGUCUUACGUCUCAGCUUCCUAGUUGCGAGGUUGGUUCGCUAGGCAGUGAUUAAUUCCUGUAGCAACAGUGAAAGCCUUUGUUUGUAGUUUCAGUUCGACAGCACUAGUAGGAUUCCCUAUUUUGUGUUAAAGCCUUAGUUCCAAGCUCAGGUAUUAUAAGUAGUAGUGGCAGGCCCAUAGUUAGUAUAGUAGGAGAGACAAGUAACAGCUAACAGUACUCUGCAACUUACUAUAAGAGCAGCUGAUUCUAUUUCUUCCCUGGCCUCCUUAAAGUAGUGUUUGGCUACUGAGUUCAAUUAUGUAUCUUAGUACUAAAUGCUGAAUAUGGGUCUUGGGGUCGAAUUCAUACUUAUUGACUUUCUUUACUUGUUAUGAGCAAGUCAGGUAUUCAUGGCUAAAGGAGAGUUUUCCAGUCUUGUUUGACAGAGCCAGAGAGCAGGGCAAUAAGAGAGAUAUUCAAUUCAAAGAGAAGAGUCCGCAGUCGAGGUUGGCAGGAGAGUUUUCCCCGGGGAUGCUCUAUAUUAUAGUAGAGGAUAUAGGAAUGUAGAGGAUAUAGGAAUUGACACCCCUUUAGCCGACCAGACCAGACCUCGUAUUUAAGUUCAGAAUGGAAAUAGAAUCCCGAAAGUCAGGUUAUGACCAAUUCCAAAAGUAGUAGUAGUUCUGGGUAGGUCGUAGAUAAAGAAGCAGGGUGAGUUAGCUCUACGAGAGAAUCCGCAUCAGCAUCAGAUAAAGGAAGUUAGGACAGGACUGGCUCACACAGGAACUAGUCUUAACUCAUUAGAGAACGUAUUUAUAUGAGUCUAUUACUUGCUUUGCGUUACAACUUACUAUAAAGAGCUAUUGGAAAUGACAUCGUGGGUCUCUCGAAUCAAUCUAUUAGGGGUCGGGGCAGAGUCUUGUGCCACUGUGAUAUCUGCUAGCGCAUCUAGUAGUUUCAUUCCUCUAUUAAAGCAAGGGUAAGGAUGCCUCUAUUCAAUACAACUUACUUUAAGGGGCUGUAAACCAUAUCACUCGAGCAGGCAAUUAUCCACUGUCAACUGGAACAGAACUGAUUGCAGCUUUUAACCGACCAGUACUAUCUUCUUUCUCAUAACUUCACUUUCGAACAUCAUUUCCUAGCACAUCUCCUUAUGAGGAUCCUGAUAGUAAGAGUGAUUUCAAUGUUAGUAAGAGUUAAUAAUCCCGUCCUGUUGACUCGGCAACUUACAAUAAAUACUCUGUGCUCUCACUUUUAUAAGCAUUACUCAUCCUAUAGCUCUCUAUAGCCUAUACUUAUAAUUACUUCUUGUUGGGCCUGGAAUGUCAGUAAGGGCUUCGGAUCUGAAUGUAAUCCACGAAUUACUUCAACAAAAGUAGAAGAUCCUUCAAGCAACUACGGAAGUGGACCUCGCCUCAAAGCCUGUACUUGAUUCUUUCUCUUUUCCUCAUUGCUUAACACAAGCACCCGAACCGAACCCUUAACUAGACACAUGGCAAAACAGGACCCAUACGCGGCACCCACAUCUAUAUACAUUACACCCCGACCUUCCCCUUAAUGUUACUUCAAUGAGUUAACCCCGACCCUACUUAUUUAGUUUGAGCACCCUAGCACUAAAGUUCUCUUUCCACCGACAGCACCGAGUGAGACAAGGGAUUCCACUUAUUCACUUCCUUUGCCCAGGUAUAUAUAGACUGCUCGAGUGAAGUCAGCUGCCCCAAGAGAUGAAUUCCUACUCGGGAAAGCCUUGAACUCCCGGUUGGUUACCAAUCUAUAUCUCUAAUACCUCCGACUUGGAACUUACCCGCGGAAGUGAACCUCUGAUUCUAGAAUUACCUGCGCUGUAGUGUAUCUACUUGUCAGCUUUCUUCUGCCUUCUGCCCGAACUACACUCCCACUCCAAUGUGAGUCUUGCCUUACCUCUCUCCACUAAAGAAUUCAAUGGAACUGAUCUUCUUGCUCGAAUACCACCAGAAUGAACUGGCACUGCUAAUUAUAGAUACCCUGACUUCUUUUGUUACACCUCAUUUCACUAGAUACCCUUACUGACUUCUUUUGUUAUACCUCAUUUCACUAGAUACCCUUACUUCUUUUGUUACACCUCGUUUCAAAGCCAAUAAGAGAGUAAGUCGUGUACAUAUUCUAUUACAAAGUAGGCUAGAUCGUUUCUAUGACAAAGUGGGCUAGCAAGUGUUGUAUUAUGGCCUUGUCCAACCCUCGAUACUUUCAUAGACUAUAUUUCAUUCCACAACUUUCCUUGAAGCCGACACCACUGAGUCUGGGCCUGGACUACAUUUCUUCCCCUAACAGCUAGCCAGUACUUACUUCAUUCUGCAACUUACUAUAAGGGCCUCUAAACUGGAGCAGCUACUACUUAUUUGAGUCACACUAACUAUUUGCCUUAGCUACAUUGCCCAGGAGUUUUAUCUUCCAAUUAGUAACAUUGAGAUUUGAGUAACAACUACUGAAUUAGUCACAUCUGCUAGCUACUCUCUUAUAUAAUACCUAUGUCAACUAAUACAGAUUCAAAUGGACUACUACUACCUUACUACUUGGACUACUACUAGUUUGGGCUGUUGGCCCUUCUUUUGAGGUUUAGGCUUCCUCUGUAAACUGUAGAUUCUCUAGUUUACAACUUAGGUCGGUCGGUCAAUCAAGCCAAUCAAGAACUUCAUUUGUAUACGCCGGUCAAGCGCCAAGAACCUAUCUCACCGAACCUUGCAAGCGCCAAGAACCUAUCUCACCGAACCUUGGAGUUAAAGAGAAAAGAGUUAAGAAAGAGGAAUUCGUUUACUUACCGAAAUGAAUUAAGGGCAAAGGACUUAUUCAUAACCUCCGAACAAAGCACUUGGCUUCAAAUGCUAGCUCUCAAUCUUAAGUGAAAGCCCUAUUUCUCUAUAAGUUGUAGUUACUUCAGUUCCAUUCUUAUAGGGGUGCGACAGGACACCUCGCUUCACCGGCUCUAAGAUAUUAUUCCACUGAUCUUGCAGCUGACACCCGCACUGCUCACUGAAGCCUCUGAUCCAGCUUCAAAGCCUUCUACUUACUGGUUUACUGGUUGCAUUCUUUCCCUUACUGGUGGAAUUCCUAGCCUUCUACUUAGCUAACGCGGUGCAUUCUUCUACUGACUGUUUUGACGAACACAGUUUUCGUUCCUUUGUUCGUCCGUCUAUAUUUCUUGUUUCGAGGUGCGAAAGCAAAGCACUACCCUCUUAACUACAAGUAAGCCAAGAACAACCUAGAUUUCACUAACACAACAGGACUGCUUUCAUUCAAUGAACACUAGCACCCUUCACUUCUUAUAUAGGCCUCGACCUAGAGCGUAAGCACCAAACUAAACUCCCUUUUCUGACUCGACUUAACUGUAAACUCCCUUUCCAUACUUUAUAACUGGAACAGGGGAUUCCACUCGGGAUGAAACAAGAAAGUAGGCAAGAGUUCAAUGAAACAAAAAAGGCUGUAGAAUGGCAUUGGUUGACAUGACAGAACAGACAGCAAGCAGUAAGUGUUUUCCUAGUAACUACAUAAGCUAGAGCAGUAGUCGGAAUAAACAGACUCAAUUAGGACUUUCGAGUGGAGAGCGCAGUUACCCUCUGAUACUAGACUAGGUUUUCUGGUAAUAGAGAAGGUUGCUAAGGAAUUAACUAGAUGAGGGUUUCCGGUCAUAGGUGUCUUAGCCUUAUACUUAUUGGGUUCAUUCUUUGACUACUAAGUUGGAUUCUGCACUUCUUUACUUAUAGCUUCCCCUUUGCCAACGCCAACCUCUUAUUGAAGUUCUGAACCGGCAACACUAUUAAUUAAGAGAAGGAUCGGAGUGAGGAUUUGAACCACUGGACUUUCACCUUUCUGUCCCAGGCGCAAAUCCUUUAGGUCACCUCUUUCGGUCCAUCUAUGGAAGAUUCCUUUGCCAGGCGAUUUACCACAUUCCUUGCAUUAAGAUUGAUCUCUAUCCCCCAGCCCUUAAACCUUGAAACUUCCCCCCAGUCCCCGUGAAUCCACCAACUAAGAGCAGUUGCUUCUGAAUCGGCACCCUUACUAGCUAGAGCACUAGCAGCAUCACAUUGAGAUCCAAAUAUCCUAACCCCGUUUACAGAAGAGAAAGAAGAAUGGCUGUUGUUGAAUCCGUUUCAAGUAGGAUCAUCUAGAUUUUCAUAGAAUAGUGGAAUCCAGUAUCCUUCCUUACUUAGUGGAAAGUGGUGGGAUCAUAUAUUAGAAGAGUUUAAGCCCAUCUACAUCCUGACUUAUAGUAAGCUAAGCUAGCAGAUCAGAGAUGCGAACCCUUAGUGCCAGCUCUUGUCACAGCCACCAUCCAAUAUCCUUCUUUCUUUCUCUCCUUGAAACAACUAUAUCUUCUCUUCUCUCCUUUCUUAUGGUUUAUCUUCUCUCCUUUCUUGAAACAACUAUAUCUUCUUUCCUUUCUACUAGUUUCUCUUCUCUCCUUGAAACAACUAUAUCUUCUAUUCUCUUCUUUCCUUCUUUGACUUAUGGGCUUGAUUCCCUAGUUCUAUUCUAAAAUGACUUAUAUCGAUUCCGUGUCUUCCGGUGCUCAUUCCCAGUUGCUAGUCCACGAAGACAUCAGCCGACAUAACUCAUAAUAAAGACUAGAGAUCGUACCAGACCCCUACUAAUAGAAGUCUGAUAAUGACUUAGCCAAUUACUUAAGGGCCUUAACCCACUCUAAGUAUAGCUAUAAGUAUGAGUUUCCUAAGGAUACCCAAUAUACGGAAAUCAGAAAUAUACUACCUAUAAUCAGAAUGGAAUUAGCGUUUACAAGACCUACCGCUGUGCUAGCGGAUCAAGCAGGUACUUCCCAAAUACUUAUACUCAAAAUAAGAGAUUGAACUACGAAUAGCAGAAUCGAGCAGGUACUAAUAAUACUUACUCCACUAACAGGGAAUACGAACACCGACACAUAGGACUUGGACUUGAGCCUGGAACAAAGGCUUUUACCUCUACAAACAAGAGAAUCUUUCUAUAACAAAAGAAAGACUGGAACCGCUGCUUCCGAGCCUAAACCCGCUCAUAAGCUUACUCUCCUUCUUACGAGCCUGCCUCCCCCUUCUCUGAUUCUGAUUAGUACUCGGUUACGCUCUAGCAGAGUCUAAUAGAUGUAUUGGUACUCCAGGAUAUGUUUAGUAUAACAUGGAACCAAACAAAGUGCUAGAAGAAUGGAACUCGCAAUAAGGAAUACAAAAAGCACGAGGCUAGUGCCAACAAUACUAUAGCUCCGACUCUGAAUACGGAAUCCAACCUUUACUAGAAGAAUGGAACUGGUGUUGACAAGAAUCGCACUUAGGAGAAUAGGGAAUUGAACCACUGUCUAACAGGCUUACUUUACUGGGUUUCACCCUAACACUGCUGUCUCUAUGCUUAGUUUCUACUCUGCAACUAUGACUGAUGAGACUGUAGCUGCUGAACCUUACUCUUACUUGUGUGUUUUCGUAUUGUACUGCUCACUGAGUGCUUUAACUACUUAUUCUCUGAAUGGAACUACUUACGGGCAAACAGACUCGAAACUGCAGCUAACAAGAAUGACCCUUCCAAAAUAGGGAAUUCAAUACAGGGUAAGUCAAGUAUACUAUACUUAUUUCCUUGAGCUCCCUUCUUCUCUAGUAACUAACUUCGGGCUUACUCAACACUCUAGCCUCUUCUUCUUAGUAUGAUCAAACUCUCCUUUCAUUUGCACCCAAACCCAGGAAUUGUAAUAACGCGGACUUGAAGAAGCACACCGCUCUAAGCCAACAAAGAUUUCUCUGACCCGGCAUCUGAUCCGGACUCUUAAAGCAGGGGAACUCGACAAGCACCAAAAGAAACCAGACUUGAUACUGAUAAAGAGACUUCUUAUGCAACUGAUCUAGCUCCUAAUACUUAAAUAGGAUUCCUUUCGCUUAGACCUGCUCCUUAUGAAAGGCAAGAAGAUCACAAUCUCUCUGGCAAUUCUCCACCACACCUCGAUACCGCACUGCUUCCUCAUACUCGCACCGAACCUUCACUUUCUUCACUCUUUGACUACUCUAUUAUUUGAUUUAGGAUUCCAUCGCUAUUCAUAAUAGAAAGGAGCACACAUUGACCUUUUAUUGGUAUGGCUUCCCAGUGAAUUGCUCUCUCUGUGCGCUUAGCUUUCUUCCAAUACAUCAUUGAAUCUUACCUUUAGGCACAACUUAUUGUUCUCUUGUACCAACUCCAGCUCCUCUAAAUAGUCCUAUUUUUCCUCCCAGCUUUCCAGGCAAGCAUAUUCUCCACGACAACUAAGGUAAAGAACAGAACUUAACGCUUCCCUUUCAGGUUCCCUUGCUGGUUGUAAAUACACUGCUUCCCUUGCUGACCUAGACCUUACCUUAUAACCAGAACAGUACUGCUGGGAUGAAGACUAACACUCGAGCAGGAGCAGUAACAGGGACAAGUAACUCAGAUCUGAAUUCCCCCACAAACAACCAAUAAGGGCACAAGAACAGAAACUGCAUUAGCAUCAGAAGGAAUUGACCCUGACCGAUAGCACUCAACUUGACUUCCCGAGCACUCCUUCCUUUAAGAAUAGAGGCCAUAUACUAAGUGCUUUGGUAGGCGCAAGGGUUACAAUAAGGCUUAACCGAGUCUACGGAAUGAAUCUCUUUGGGUAGCUGAAUCCUGUAUUAGUUGGCUUAGAAGCGAGGUCUACUUCUUGAUCUCUUACCUUCCUAGCCUUCUACUUACCGGUUUCAGCCUUGGACUUACUGCUUGCAUUCUUGUCCUGUAUAGCUCCAUUCUGAGAAUAGCAUCAGAGAAUCGAUACCACCAGUAGUACCUCAGAGAAUCAGCAUCAGUCUGCCUAGCCCGGGUUGAAGUCUUAGCAUCACUAGCUCCGUUCUGUAACUCACUUGUUUGAGUCUGAUCUUAGGCACUGUUUCAGUCUGUUUCGUCCGUUGCUUGGCCCUUGGCCCCUUUUGAACCGUUUAGUAUGAUUGACUUUGUUCUAUGCCCGGUGAGAGACAAGAUAGAAAGCGAAUUAUGACUUAAAGAAUGGUAGUUGAAGUAAGAGUAAUCUAGCACAUAAGUCUCCUGAAUCACCCCUAAGCUCUUAAGUACGAGUAAGAGACAAGUUAUUCCCGUACCAACACAGCAGCACCAGUACAUGAUUCAGUUAUUCCCAACCCAGCUGACAUUCAUUCUAGUAACAACCCAGCUGACAUUCUUUAGGACAGUAACCGUGCUUCAGAAAGACAUAAGAAAUCAUACCUUAGCGCCGAAAUUGACGACUUGGACACUGCUUCCCUUAGCAGAGAUCCUUGCUCGACCUAAACUCUUUUCAUUAAUUGCCCUUGCUUCUAGUUGACUUGUUUCCUCAGAUGCUAACGCGCAGAUAAGAUUGGAUCUAUUGUGGCCAAGAACAGAACUAGACUUUCCACUUGCAGAUGACCUGACUUAAGCCUGAACUCGCACUCGAUGAUAUUAGACUUAUUCACUGACCGGUUGCCGGGAACCAGAACUGGCAUAAAUGACCUUGAUCGAAAGCAGCUCCAACUCUAAUAGGUGGGCAGAGACUUCUAGAUACUGGACUUUCUCAUAACAGUAGUAUCUGCUUGUCUGGUUUCUCCCCUGGCUCUGGCAACUCCUAUCUCUCUAUUCGGUCAGUGAGAAAGGGAUCCCCCACUUUAUGCUUUAUGGAUGGGAGAAAGGGGCCUCGCCCAAGCGGUAAGUUCAGUUCACUCUUUCAGAUGAUAUCUUCCGGGAGUAGGAAAAGAGCCGGAUCCUCUUAGCAUCGGAGAGCGCUUUGUCGUGCAAAGUAAACUCGCCAAUACAUUCCCGAAAGAAUGAAUGAGAAAUAUACCAGCAAAGCUAACUAAUUGCACUUGUAUAUAUUAUGGUGAAGCAUACCGAGAGAAGGAGCUUGACUCUUCGGGAGCAAGUAUUAACUUAGCCGAACUGUGAGUGCUCAGCGACCGAUCGGUGUCCGCUUAUUUUGCUUUCUAUUAUGUUUCAGUCGUGGUUUGGCCCGGUGAAAUCGCAGGGUUACGGGGACUUCGACUGUAUGUACUAGGGGCGUCGGUAGGCUUAGUAGGGCUCGAACCUACAAUAUCACCGUUAUGAGCGGUACGUUUCAACCAAUUAAACUAUAAGCCCUUUCCUAUCUAUGGAUCUAUACAUGAAAUUCACUCACUUCGGGCGGGACUUACUUAAGAAAUUGUGAUUCUCCUAAUUGAUUAUAGAACAGUAUGCGCCUAUUUUCUCUUGACUAGUCUAUUUCGGUGCCUGUCCAUAAUGCGAGUAUAUAACAGUCCCUUAACUCUCUUAUUUAGUAGAUGAAUGUCCCUAUGAUAUCUUCUAGACAGAUCCUAUUCAUUAUUUCAGAGGUAAGUCAAUAAUGUUAGUAUUCUAACAACAGAGAAGAAAUAUUAGUGGAAUUGGAAAGUCAACAAUGCCUGUCUAAGUAAGGGGGCGUCUUCCAUUUCUAUAGUCUCUAAUGGUACGUACCUAAAGAAUAGAGGUUUAGUAAGUCAAUAAUGUUGCAGUAUCGUCGGCUUAUGCAAAGUAGGAGAUGCCCAAUGUUACAAAACUCGAUAUCAAAUUACUGAUAGAUACUCUCUUAUUCAACACCCAUUACUUUACUCUCUUAUUCAACACCCUUAUUUACAACCCAUUCCUCUACUCUCUUAUUCAACACAAAUUCUUAUACUCUUUUCUAACCCACAUCUGUAUCAUUUCAUUAAAGGUUACACCCACAUCUGUAUCAUUUCAUUAAAGGAACACUCAUCCUAUUCAUCUGAUUUUCAUAUGGGCACCCUUUUGAUUCUACUAGUUUCAUUAGAGAUUUCUUAGAAAGUUUCAUUAGAGACUCCAGAUCCGUAUUUGUAUAGUACCGACUCUUGAGCUAGUUUUAUGAGAUACUAUAGAUAAGUAUUUGUACAGUACCAACUCUUGAGACUCGGUCAAGGCAUGAAAGCAGUAAGUCCCCAAUUCUUUAGAGCUUCUUAUUUCAUCUUUGUUUGACUUUUUCCUUUUUGAAUACUUUUCCUUGCUCUCAGACACUCUACCCACUCUUUCCAAUCUUAUGAGCAGGGAAGGGAAUAGCUAACUUACAGUAGGAAAAGAAUAGGAUUACAGAUAUUAUGGAAUAGAAUAGGAUUACAGAUAGUAUGGAGGAGAAUAGGAUUACAGAUAUUAUGGAAGGGGAGUCCUACCUCUUUGAGAAAGAAGAGGAAAAUCAAGAGCUAGGAAAGAAAGAGAAGGCUUAAGGCUAUCAAUUCCUUUGAAAAACUAUGUUUUCGAGGAUUCUAUCACCACUGUAAAGAAAAGAGCCCAAGGAGGACAACUGGUUCAAGAGUCAACUCAAAGGUUAUGACCCGUAAGAUAAGGCAGGCUCUUUGGAAGUGGAAGGAAAAACUUCAAGCAAGUUCACAAGCAACCGUAACAACUCCCGUAAGCGCAAGUAAAGAUAACUCCGUAAGCGCAAGUAAAACAUUCCAAAGAACAUUCUGUUAGUGCAGUCAAGACAGUAGUUCAACUCCCCUUCCCGAAUAGCCGAAGAGGAACAAGCAAGCUUCAGAAAAGAUCGAGUUCAGGACGGGCAGCCCACAUACAUGAAGAGAAUAAGAGGUCGGGUUCCUUGAUAUUAAGGUGUCAAGGCGGUCGAAGAAGGCCACAAGUGGACCGGUCAUUCAGUUGACUCCUUGAUGCGCUGUCAUGCUGGCGCGGGGGUUUCGGCAGUUUUACCUACUAUUGGAUUUGAACCAAUGACUCCCGCCGUAUGAAAGCAAUACUCUAACCACUGAGUUAAGUAGGUCAGAGAAUAAAUAGACUUUAACUAUAAGAGAAUAAAUAGACUUUAACUAUAAGAGAAUAAAUAGACUUUAACUAUAAGAGAAUAAAUAGACUAACUAUAAGUAGACUAACUAUAAUCAAAAGCCAAUCAAAGCCCAGAGUUAUCCACGGGGCGCUAAGAAAGAGAAAGCUAAUCAAAGCCCUGAGUUAUCCGCGAAUCCUAUCUCCUAUCCUGCACAGAAAGCGGACAAAGAAUCCUAUCUCCCAAGCGAAACGAAUAAGAAAUGGAACAAGUAGAACUCUAGUUAGGUUAGUAACACACUUAGUUGCCGUUGCUAGUUUGCUUCCGAACUGGAAUUACACUCUAAUGAAGCGCGUUGUACACUCAUGGAAUUCCGUUGAGAACAUGGGCAAUGUAGCACUCUAACCUGCGAGCUACUGCGGACUUAGACCACUACAAGGGAAAGAAAAGCACUCUAAGGGAAAGCCAGGCUCGAAAAUCAAUCAGGUAAGCGGUCAACUCAACAAAUGUGGAAUCAACCAUUUCCACUCCAGGACCGCUUGCUUCUCUUGAUCCACUUUCCACUGCCUCAGAUCUAGAUAACAGCAUAUAGUUUCUUUACCUACUCCCUUAUACAACUAAAGCAUCACUCUUCUCUUGUCGUAUACUGCAUCACUCUUAUCUUGUAUUCUCUUCAGUAUUCCAUUCCAUAAGGGUAUUCAUACAGAGCAUAUAACAUGGAAUUGCAUCUUUAGAGUUCAGCGCCUUGUCCAACAAAUAAAGAAGAUCAUCUAGCAGCACCCGCCCUUGCUCUAACUCAGCUUCGAGUCUUUCGCCUCCUUACUAACGCGGUUAACUCGCCUUAGCACCCCGGGAGUAAUCCUAUCAAUAUUGUCAUUGAGCGCAUAUCCUGAAAAGAAUCGACUGACUCUUUAGCUGAUACGAAAAGAAAACCGUAAUGGAACUUGCCCUUUCAAUAUGUUGUUGUCAAACAGUCAAAUAGGUUCAAUUCAUUUCUUAUCGAUGUGUGCCAUAUAAAGGUUGGAAUUCCUCAUGCACUGAUAAGUAAGUAAAGCUUUCCUCUUUUCUUGGCAUAUGAAAGAUAUUAGUGGAAACUUUGACUAAGGCCUACUCCACGUGAGAGCAAAGAACAUAAUAGGGAUAAAGGAAAGCCAUACUAGUUCCAUCAUUUGCGAAGAGAAGAAUGGGCCCCAAUGUUCCUCGUCUGAUUUAUUGGUAAUUUCAUGACAAUUUCUCUAAUUAUCUUAUUUCCUACCCAAUCCUCUGCUCUGAAUAAAUGAAUUGUAGAAUAGGCUCACUUACCCUUAUUAUGAUUUGAUUAAGGAAUAAGGCAAGACAAGAAGUUUACUGCCAAGAAAUAGUGGAAUAAAGCAAUAAUAAACAAGCAGGAUGAGUGCCAAGAAAUAGUGGAAUAAAGCAAUAAGGAGAGUCUAAAUGAAACACACCUUUCCCAUCGGUGCCUUAGCCAUUGGUAUUCUUUUCACCUACUUAGUUAAGUAGUCUUUAGUGGGUAGAACUUAUAGGGUGACCAUGCCUAGAGAGACUUCAUUCUUGGGUCGAAAGCGGGUGUGAAAGAAAGCCGGGGCAUCGGACGUGGAUAGCACAUAGCUCGGCAUCGGACGUGGAUAGCACAUAGCUCGAGCGGGCUAAGCCAUUGGUACAAUCUUCUCCUUGCUCCACUUUGUUUGCCCGGCGCUUACAGGUCACAUUCAUUUCCGUCGAGCACAAAGCGCCUAUUGACUGCCUCAUCAGGGACUCGGGAGAUAAGGUGGGUGCGCUCUUCUAGGCUCCAUAUCAAUCACUUCAUUGAAUUUCCAUUAGUGUGGUGACAAGAUUUUCUUAGUUUGAGUUCAUUGGCUUGGAUACAAUAUCCCCAAUCAAUGUCUUUCUCGGACGUGAGAGUGCGGGGCUAAUCAAUAUCUCUCGUAGAAUGAAAUGCCAAACUAUCCUUCUUAUUGCAGGAGCAAGAAAGCAGGAAUAUAUAUGGGUGUAGUUACACAUUUCUGUCUUCUUCUGGCUCUGGGAAGGGCUUACCGAAAGAAAGGGCUUGAGCCAGGACCAAAUAAAGGCUUUGAGCGAGGGAGAUCAGAAGUUGCAAAGCUUCUUUGUUGGGUUCCAGGGUGGACUAAAGUGAAGCUCGAGCGAAGCUAUAGGGGGGACGAAGUUAAGGUUCGAUAGGACCAGGGGCCGGAGGCUACCAUUCGAUCAGAUUUGACUCAGGUCUUGUCUUUUCUUUUGAAAUACCCUGAAUCAAUGAAAGACGUAGCUCGGAAGAAUACGUCUUGACCUUUGCUUCGUGCCCUUCACCCACACAUCAAUACAACACCCACGACCCGGUUACUUUCUGUCUUAUUUUGCGAUAGAAUGACAGGGGAUAAAGGGUGCUGUCACCAUCCAACUGCUAUGACGUGAACUCGAGUCUCAAGCCUACAGAGAGUUUCGCCCUAUCGUCCACCAAAAGUGGGUAACAUACAAAAGGAAAAGGCAACUUCCAUCGGCGGAUUCCCGAGUAAGGUAAGUAGAGGUUAGAGUAGAGGUGAUUCAAUUCAAUUGCUUAUAGUUCCAAAAAGGGAUUGAUUUGUGUAAGAAUAGAAAAGAGAAAUAGAAGAGAGCUCCAUCCUAUGCUGCUUUAUAUAAAGGAUAUGAGAAAUGUCAUUCGGGAGCUACCGGAACUGACCUCUGACUCUUCGCCUUUAGCUUCCCUUACUAAUAAAGAAAAGUACAUUAAUGACUAAUAAAGAAAAGUACAUUAAUGACCCUCCUCUAACGAAUCCGCUAUCUUACACAUCGUAACCUCCUCGAAAGAGUCAGCUCCUGCACUACGUCCCUCCUACCCUAGCGCUACAAGUCUUCCGCUCCUCUCCCGUAGGUCGAGCCAACUUCCUCUACCUUACAAACUAGCAUCUUCCUUCCUCUCUCUCACUUACUUCUAAAGAUUAGGAGAAAAACUUCUUCAUUAGGGCUCGCACUUAAUCCAUUGAUCCUAACCGAAGUAGGGGGUGGAGAGAACUCGCAACGUCACUCCUCACGCAGGAGCUCAACAAGUAACCAACAAGCAAUAAGAAGAAGCUCCCUCCUUGAGUAGAAUAUAUACAAGGUCCAAUUAUGCGCUUAUAUAAGAUGUGCACUCUAUGAGAUUAAGUAAUUCAGUGGUUUUUUCACUGUGCUUCUAUUGCACUCAACUCUAUUAUGUAGAGUCAGCUGUUAGGUUACUACUUUCUAGAGUAUAGGGUGUGAGUUAGAUGAUGAGUUUCUAGAGUAUAGGGUGUGAAUUAGAUUCUUUGCAAAGACUCCCUUGUGCGUUAGCGAAUUACGCGGUGGGAUAACCAUCUUAUUGGAUUUUUCACUCAAUUCCCUUUUGACUUUAGUUAACUCCCAAAAAGCGACUACUAAACAAGGUGCUGUAUUCGCUGACACUUUCUACAUGACUGCGCCAGGGGCAUGAUCUUCGGCUUCUGUAUACGACUUAACAAGAACUGGAACAGGAACUUUCUAUUCUUCAUCGGGAGCUAACACUGCUGAAGAUACUAGAACCAGAGCUGAUGAUUCUGAUUCGAGAGUCGAUGUCGAUCGCCGCUACUUGUUCCUUUAGACUUUCCAUCUUCUGCUUCAUCUGGUCAUUAUGCUUAAGAUCUGUCUACAGCUGAUGAUCUCGUAGACUACUUGAGAACUGGAACUCCACUUUAGCGGUAAACUCGCCUUGUGUCAUUUGAAUUGUAAACUCCCUUAGCGAGCCCUAGCCCUAGUAGAUAAACGGGUCAUAUUAAUGACUUCCAUAUGAUCUCAACUGUCUGCAUUCUCAAUUCCUACUUUUUCAAUGAAACAAGCUUAGGGUAGAGCGCAAAGGUCAAGUUCACAAAAGGAAUAGCACUGUAGCAAAUGAGAAUUAGGAUCUUAUUGAGACUGUUCCUAGAUACUAAACCUCUGCAAUUGAGAAUUCUGUCUUCAAUUCUUUAAGUCAAAUGGUUGCUGUGUUUUGUUACUAUAUUGAGAAUAGUGCAUUUAUAUGGGUAUAUGGCUGGCAUCCCUUUUCAUUCAAAUAGUAUUGAAGAACUUAUUGGGUCCCUUCCCUAUCGCCCCUGCUCAUCUAUUCCGGCUUCAUGCAACGAUCUUUAAUUCAGUUCAGAGAUAGAGUAAAUGAAGACUUGAUCUAUAGAGUGGAAGAGGAGUCGGAGGUAAAGGUAGAUCGCUUUAAUGAAUAAGUCGGUAUAGGAUGGUGUCCGCUUUGAUAGAAGGAGUGGGGGAAGAAGCAACCCUGGAUUGGAUUCUAUUUGGAAGCGAAAAUGAUAUGCGGGAGCGCCACGCCUGUUAAAGGCCUAUACGACUGAACAACCCGAAUAAUGCUGAGCUUGUAUGUAAAGAGAAGGUGAAAAGGAGAUGAAACGAAUGCUCUGGUAUCCAUCUAUCUAUUGUAAACCUAAAAACACCUGUGACCUUAGGAAAGGCGCUAAAACUAAGAGGCCCAUUGGGUUCGACUUUCGAAUAUAAGAAAAGGUGAUACUAACACCUUAGCCAGAUCGUCUUCAGCAUGAAGAGAAGAACCUUUGUUCCGAAGGCCUAGCAAGUUCCUAGAUUCUUUCUCUUUGUUCCGAAGUUGUAAAGCGAGUUCCUAUAUUAUCUUUCUCUUUGUUCCGAAGUUGUAAAGCUAGCUAGUUCCUAUAUUCUUUAUGAAAGUGAAACUCGUUAUUUCCUUUUCCCGAUCAUCAUCCCAUUCUAUAAUUGAAUAGGUCGAUAUCAGCGGUCCAAUGCAUUUAGUCCUUCUAUUCAAGUGGCUCCUCUCCUAAGUGAAAGAGAUUUAGGAUAGCAUUUCUCAUAACUAUGUUGCGUAUACCCUUAUGAUGAUUCCUUGUUGCGUAUACCCUUAUGAUGAUUCCUUCUUCUGGAAAUGCAGAAUGUAAGGAUGGCAUAUAUGGCUAGCAGCUGUUUCCCUACUUACUCAUAACGCCUAUCUAUCGGCUAAGCAAUUUCCCUACUUUGACUCAUAACGCCUAUCGGCUAAGCCGCCUUUCCUUUCCCUCACUGAAUCUUCCGGUUCUUUCCUUUCCCUCACUAAUCCAAUAUCUUUGUUGUAAGCUGCCUUUCCUUUGCCUAAAAUCCCAUUUAUUUCUUUUGUUGGCUGGCCUAGCUGCCUACGGAUGUUCGGACAGAUGAUAAAGAUGACCUGCCACCGCCUGCCUCCCCUUCUUCAAUUGGUCUGUUUAGCAUUCCCUAUGAAUCUAGGUUCCUUUGAGAAGUCUGUAAAGAAUCUAUGUUCAAGUAUUAUUACCGAGGGCGAGCUGCUUUCUGGGGAUUAUGGGAAAUCAAGAAAAGGAGUGAGAGUUACCUUGUGACUUUUCUUUCUUUCUCCACGUAGAAAAUGAAUCAAACCAGUUAUCCAUCGACCAGCAGGUAUUAUCAAAGGGUUAUUGUUUAUGCGAGUAUAGCAUGAUUUAUUGGGAGGGCUAUUAGAAAUCCACUUUCUUUGUACCUGGCAUAUUCGAUUAUCCACUUCAUACCUGGCAUAUUCGAUUAUCCAUGAGAAAUCCACUUCAUACCCUACAUAUUCGAAAGGUUCACCCACCCUAUAUAUCCUUUAUCCCGGUUUCACUUGUGCUAAAACGACUUACUUCACUGGCUUCUUUGACAUGAAUAGCCGCUACGCUCCUUUCUCUGAGUAUUGGACUGGACAGACUUACUUGACUAUUGUCUGUCUCUACAAGGACAACUAACGAAACUCGUUUUUCUCUAUCUCGCAAAGGUCAACUAAACUAAAGGAAACCAUCUAUACUAACAAUAAGGAAGCAAAGAUUAGAGUAUAGCGGGCGAGUCCCCAGUUAUGGAGAUCCCCCUUCGUCUCCCAUAGCGUAGGCUUGAUUCCUUCUUCGACUCGUUUUCGGAAAGGAGCUAUAGGCUAUUGCUCGUAUAGAAAAGACAAAGAAAGGUUGUUUUUAAGGAUUAGCAGUUCGAGAAGAAAAGAAGGGUUGUUUUUAAGGAUUAGCAGUUCGAGAAGAUAGGUAGAGAGCCAGCCUUUUCGUCGAGGGCGGUAUUAGUUGCAAGAUUUCCUUUGUUAGGUAAUAAAUCUUCUUAUCUAUAUAUUCCACUCACAUCUAAUCCAUGAAUGAGUUGACUUGACUUGCUUAGUAAGUGCGGAUUCACUGUUACCCAUAAUCUGAAUCUGGGGCAUCCGAUCUAGGACGCUAAGGGACCCCUAAGUCUCUCACUCUGCUAUCUAAGCUACAUUCGUAAGGCCUAAGCUGGAUGGCUUUCUAUUUCUUUCUGUUCUCAAAGCUAUACUAUCCUAUACUGUUGGUCGAGCAUCUACUGUUAACCUAUACUAUUGAUCGAGCAUCUACUGUUUGUUGGUCAAACCUAUACAGUUGGUCAAACCUAUACUUAUCGAGUCGUAGAGAGAAGCCGAGAAGAAGCAUUUUGUUCAAAGGAGCCAUCUGCCCCCGAUCCAAGUACUAACAGUUUCUUUACACACCCCCUAGAUAGGAGGGAAAGAGCCAGCAAGAGAUUUCUAGAUGAUAUCGUUCGGGAAAAAGAAAGAUAUAGUCAUGAUGAAGAAAAGAAAUAGAUAGUAAGUAAUGAUGAAGUUAGAAGAAGAACAAGGUAUAAGGAGAUAGUCAUGAUUAAGUUAUAAGAAGAACAAGGGCAGCUGCGUAUCGAUAUGAAGGCAUUGGAGCCCGCUUGCUACGCUUCUAUCAUUGAAUAAGAGAGAGGGAAUUGCUUACAGUGCAAUAAGGAGUAAAAGACAGAGAGAAGGAAUACUUCUAUAGACAUACAAGGCUUGGUGCUAAGGAGAGCUACAAGGCCUUCUAUAGUGUUGUCCAUUGCAUGCACUAAUAUUAAGCUUUCAAAGACAAAGAGCAGAGCCAUCAGUAAAGAGUUGAGAGUGUAAGUACGAGCAGAGCCAUCAGUAAAGAGUUGAGAGUUUAAGUACACAGUGAGUUUAGGUUAGCGAGUUGGCAGAGCGGGGAUAGUGAGUGAGCUUUGGAGGAGUUCGGAGGUGUUGCAAAUCUAUUUGGAGAAGGUUGGAGGCUUAUCUAUGAAUUUCUAUGCAAGAGAGAACAAAUGAAAAUCCGCUAGGGCGCGGUAUCCAUCAAUGGAAAUCCCUGGAAAGAGAACUCGCAAACGCUAUAAUAUAUUGUUGCGCUGUAGUGAGUAGUCUUCAUAUUAUGGAUUGAUUAUAGUGCUUAGUCUAGGGUGGACUAUAAAGUAUUCUUCUAGUGCAACGUCUCGAGUGGACUAUAAAGUAUCCUCACAGCAACAAAAGUGAGUUAUUGAGUUCGCAAAUAAGAAACGACUCUCUGGUACAGUAAAGAGUCUAUGUCAUUGAGUUCGCAAAUAAGAAACUAUUCUCAGGUAAAGUAAAGGGUCUAUGUUAUUGAGGGCAACAUAGGUGAUUAGCCAUUAGCGGAGUGGAACCUUGCCUGCGUGUUAUGACUUAUCCUUCUCAAGCAACAACAGUAGGAUGAAUGUACCUAUAUGUGAUUCUUUAGGAUGAGCGUGAAGCUAGCUAUCUGAUUCUUCUGUAUGUGUGAAGCUAGCUAUAUUAUGAUUCUAUUUCUUUAAAUAAAGAGAAGUGCACAUAUGAGUUAAUUGAAUAAUCUGACCAUUCUUAUACUCUACUCCACUUAAUCAAAUCAUCUGACUCUAGCCUUGAAUCCACUACUCAUGGGCACCUUCUCGGAUGUCGCCCUUUGACUGACAGUGAACGUGAAAGACUCGACAGAAAGGACUGGCUCCUAACUCGGGCCUUACUUGAUGUAUAUGGGCACCUGGAAUUCUCUCUACUUCACAUGGGUACAUGGAAUUCUCUCUACUGCACUUUCAAGGAGUGAGUGGUGCUUGAGCGGAACUUUCGGAGAGUGAGUGCUUGUCCAGCUUUCGUCCAGCUUUCGUCCCUAUUAUUCAAGAAAGCCGGAAUCCAUCUUAUCUUUACUUAAGCCAACACUCCAUCCUUUCUUUCUUACCUAGGACCUUAGAGUGGGCUUCACUUGACAUGAAUCCUACUUGCAUCUUCCGUAGUUACUUGGCCGUCUUACUAAGUUGCUUGGCCCUCUGAUUCCAUAAUGACCAAGAUCCAUACAAGACCCCCUGACAUACUCCACUAGACUUGAAGAACCCAAACCAAGACUAGAUUCUUAUUAUUACUAAACCUUUCCUUGAAGUGAGGAAUGGAAUGGAACCGAAAAAACUCCUCUUCUCUAAUGACCUAGUUAUAUACUAAAUCAACGAGUAAAUCAACGAGCUUCUUUCGACUUCUCUUGAACGCUAGGGCCCAGUAGGAAUUGACUGAGAACUUAUAUUGCAACAACAGUGGGACCAGUCUCAUAUGGAACUCACGUUAGCGCUACUUCUAACUACACUCUCCCUCUGUCCUUUAAUAAGCAGGGUUCCGCAGGACAAUCUGUUAACGCGUAUAUAAGUCUUUCUCACUUAGCGCUUCAUAAGGCCAUAAGAAAGGUGUUCGGUGUUGGGCAAUAAACAAAUCAUUCUUCAACUCCAACUCCACUUUCGCACUCAACGAAUGACUCCCUUCCACUUGCUACUGACUUUAGCCCGCGCAUUCCAAAGAGGAGAUUCGGCUUCUUUUCUUGAUACGACAACUUCACUUUCAACUCAACCGAACUAUACCUGUCCCGCUAAGUAAUAGGGUUCAAGCUCUCUCGCAAUGAUGCGGGUGUCUGGAAUAAGAAAGCAAGUAGCAUUUCGGCCAUACCUUUCUCUUUUGGAUUGGAGUUUUCUUCAAUACUUCAAUCUUUCACAAGCAAGUGGGGUUUCUCAAGUCUUUUGUAGCCGAAGUGACAGCGGUAGAAAUGACGAUAACUUGGAUGCACUGAGGAAAACCUAUGCAGUAGUCGGGCUAAGCAAAUCUCUUUAUUCUGAGCAGUAGUAGGGAGAAUCUCUAAGCAGUAGUAGGUAUCAUCCUAUAAGCUGAUCUUUAUUCUGAGCAGUAGUAGGUAUCAUCCUAUAAGCUAAUCUUUAUCCUUAUUUAGCCGACUAUUGCUCUUUUCUUUCUGUUCCGCGAGUGCCAUUACUUCUCCAGGCCCGAACCAAGACUAAAGACGCAGCUAAGAAGCGCAUAUCCGCCGACCUACCAUCUCUUUCUCAACGAAAUAGAAAUGGAUUCUCUAAUUGGGUAGAAUUUCAUUAUGCUUUUCUUUUCCAACAGUUCACACCAGCGGAAAUAGAAUCUCGAGAAGUAUUCGAGCGUUAGCGACAGGACUCCUGCAGGGCCAUGAAACCGAAAGAGAAGAUAGAGAUUUUGGAAACCGAAAGAGAAGCUUUUGAUAACCAAGCAAGCAAUCGCCUUUCCUCAAUGCUGCAAGAGUGAGCCCUUCUUUUCUCAUAGUCAACCUUUCUAACGUAGUCAAUUGUGCCCAAGUGGGACUCCAAUUCUAUAAGUGGGGGGGAAAUAAGAAAGAAUAAGAAGAUUGGAUAGUUAGGACAGAGGGUUGGAUGAAGGAAGCAGGGGGAGGCAAGGAAGUUGUAGACAUUAAGAAGAGAAUUGAGCGUUACCUAAUAUAGAAUAGUGUAAACAACCAACCAACUCUUGUACUAUAAGAAAAGCGCGGCAGUAACGAACACACUCCCCGAACUCUCCUUUCGAACAGCUUAUUUGGGAGCUAACACUGCAGCAUAUCCUACUUCUCGAACGGAACAGUCAACAACUCUUUACUUAGAUUCAUACCCUUAUCUAUCUUCUGCUUUAGUUUACUUUCCGGAGUGCACGAAAAGGAGUUAUGUUCAACUUGGAGAAAUAUGGCACAGGAUUAUAAUCAGGUCAAUCGGGUGUUCAAGCGCUCGGUAAAGCAGUGUAAACCCCUGUAUCUCUACGACAAGGAACUGGAGUACCAACACUGGAACUUGCCCUUUCAACAGCGGAUUCUCUGUCUUCCUAACCUUACAGCUUUGCUUUCAGACUCCUCUCCUUACAAAAGAAGUAAUCAAACACAGAGAUAGCUGAACCAGCAAGGAAACCAGACCGGUGUUAGGUUGUGGUGUUGGUGCUUACGCUCUCAGUUUGCAAGAUAAGUGAUUGGCUCUAAGUCACCAGCAAAUCAAUUCAAGUCGACUAGAGAAGAUACUGUUAGAGCUGUGUCUUUACUCAUCAUUUCUAUACCUUGUGCUCGAUAAGAUAUAUAUGCAAUUGGGUAACCAAAAACCACAGUACUUGCUCUGUACCGGACGGUUUGCUAGUAAGUCGGGUGGUCAAGGUCAGCAGUGUAUUUACUCGGUUCUAUACCAAGUGCCAAAUCAACGAAAUCUUCUAUUCCUUCUUUUGGAGUUUUGCUUGAAAUUCUAUGAUUCACAAAAGCUUUAGCCUAAAAGAGGUUUGUCCCAGUUACGGCUUGUGGGUACCUCAAUGGGGGAGAGAUAAGUUUGCCUGGGACCUUUGGCUACUAAGAUGGCUUAAAUAGGACUCUCAAUCUGGGUUCUUAAGCGGUUUGCCCAGCAGCUCCCUAUGCACUUGGUUUGACCUUUGUGUAGAGAGAAGAAGUUGUGAAAAAGGAAGCGAAGCUUCAAUUUCCAGUCUGGUUUCAGGUGCUACUUAAUAUUAAAGAUCAUCUCUUUCAGUUGCGAGUGUUGUCUUACCUAUUAUCUAUUAAUUGGGUGGAGGUUACCCAUUCUCUAGAAAUUGUGCACUCCAUUCUAUUCCUUAUAGUAAGCUCGGGUUAACGUAAGUUAGUUAAGUUCGAGGGAUAGUGGUGUCUCUGUGCUUUAAUCCGGUGUAUAGGGUUCGCCUGCCUAUAUGAUACUCUUCGGCAGUCAGUGAGUUUCGGAGAACAAGCAAAGGCCAGAAUGCAGUACUCUUUCCAAGGGUUCCUCUGUCUCAAUUCAACAAACCGUUGAAGGAGUUCUUUGAGUUUCCCGAUGUUCUUAAAAGAAGCCCUUGUGCGUUAGGAGAGGAGUCUGAUUACCCACUUCCAUCUAUAAGUGAUUUCCAUUCCAUUCUUUAGGUCGGGGUAGAAUCAUAAGGCGCAUAACCGAUAACAAAGGGAAAGCAAAGAAACAGCACUUGCAUACCCUGCUCCAGUUUAUGAUCUGUAUCAAGCUUAUUAUUCUUCUCCUGCAGAUCAAACUAGCACCCCAAGAGUUUCGUAAGAGCACCUUGGGCUAAGAGCAACUCUUUACCUAUCUCCUACCUUUGCUUACUGACUUCUAGAAUACCUAGCAAAUUCUGAUGUUUCUUCUUGUGCAUCUGGACCGGGACCUGGCAAUACUAUACUACAGUCCUCAGUAAAAGUCAACUCAACAAAUACUUUCUUUUUUCUUUCUUUCGCUAAAACAGUAUCAGGAUAUAAUCUUAGUGAUAAGCUUUAUAAGGAUAAGAAACCCUAAAAAGAUAAGGAACAGAACUCUACUUUAUUCGCAUAGCUUCCUAUCGGUAAAGAAAGACAAGUUCAUAAGUUUAGUGACAAAACUCAAAAGAAAGAAGAGAAAGAACUGGGACCUACAUAACAGGUUGCUUGCUCACCAAGCCGUCCUGUCCUGGCAAACUCAUAUGGUUCUCUUAUUCUUCUAUUCUAUUAUUUACUUGACUUAUUUAUACUACAACUAGUCACUAUCAAAAUGAAAGACGAUCUAGAAUCUACCCAAGAAGAUAGAGAGUCCCACAUACGAGAAAAGGUCACAAAUGGAGUUGAGCCAAGUAACAUUGCAAAGGCAUAAUGAUAGUAGGGUCGGGAUAUACCCGCCCUCCGAACCGGACGUGAGGGUCUCCCCUCAUCCGGCUCUCUGCAGGGGAAUCUAUACUCACUGCUUCCCCUAAUAUCCUCCCUUUACCACAUAAUGGGGGUUUACAGGAAAUCCCAGAGGCUCGCUCGGAUGCUAUACCUGACAUUCGGACUCUUCUGUCACUAGACUCACUAUAGUAGUCCGUCCGGCUGCUCUUGCUUAAAUCAUUACUCCUAAUUCUCCCGUGCUCUAGCAAUUGCGCUCCCUAGACCAACCACUAAACCAUGUAGUUAGAUAAGGACAAUGAAUCCAUAGUUACGGGAAUAACGGAAUGAAUAGGGAUUCCAUACUAUCUAUAGAAUAUCCAAAUUAGGAUGAAACUAUAAUCAAUCCGAACUAUCUCUUCUCUCUCUAUAGAUGUAUCUGGUCAGAGAUAGUACAGUACUUAAAUCACUAUAGUAAUGAAAUGGGAUGGAUGGUAGAGGGCUGCCUGCGCCCGAUGAACUUGUCCCAUUGUCUCUAGGGACCUCGUGGCAUACAACCUAACGACUCCAGCGUUAUAGUCGCCCCCAUUCGUUCUCUGUUUUUUGACUGCCUCGUGGACGGACGAAAGAAGGGAAGUGACAUAAGGAGGUAUUGAAGGCUCGCGAAGUAGACAGCAAGCCCCCUAAGUCCUGUGUUGCCGCGCUCGCGGAUUUGAAAGCUGGCAAGGGGAUGGAUGGGAUUCAUUCACUUGCAUUCCUGCUAGCACUAGAAAAGCCUCCGGUCUUAACGCCCUUAUGGAAGCUGUGCUGCCUUUCCUCGGGUUCGUAGAGUAGGGUUGACCGUUUACCCACAACGGAGGAGCCGCCCCCACCUCAGGGAAGCGGCCACGGUUCAUAACGAACUCUUCGCACAACAAAUCCACUUUGAAGUUGACUUAUUCGCUCGGCCAAUCCUCGGAAUGUGUACGAGACACCAUAAGGACCAAGUAUCUCAAUAGCACCCUUGUCUAAAGCUUCGAAUGAGACUGAAUAUCCGAAACGAAGGAACGCUCUUAAUAGAAAGUCAUGAAAAACUUGAUCGAAGAACCAGCGUUUAUUGAAGAAGCAAUAGAGUCGAUUACUAAAAGUACUUGUUUGAAGUUGGAAUUGAUCCGCUACUGGAUUGACAUUAUACGCUAGAGAAGCACCUGAAGUACUAAACAUAAUAGGUAUGAGUUUUGUAAUGGUUGGAACAGCAAACUCGGAUUCGGCAAGAAUCUCAUUUUGUGGUAGUACGAAGGGGGAAUUGGCCCAAAAAUGGGAUAGGGGUAAGCUGCCAGGUGUCUAGGCUUAUGAAAAUGCCCCCCGAACCGCGCGAAAUGGUCGCCUAUUACACGGCUCACUAAAUCUGCCUUGCCUUGGGGUAGUGGGCUAUUAUUCGUCGGCGGCGCACGCAGGGCCUCGGUUUGCUACGUGGACUUCCUACAGAGUGCAAUGGAACCCAGCUAAACUCCUAAGAGCCAAAAGGAAAGAAAAGAAAGAAGUCACUUUUACCGAUUCAUCCAGAAAGAAGGGUAAGACCUCUAUCACUCAUCAGUCGAUUAUGACAUUAAUUCCAUUUGAGCUUUGGAGAGUUACUAGACUUAACAUAGCGGGCGCACCUCUUCUCUAAACAUCAAUGGCUAAAGUUAGUGACUUUGGGCUGAUAGAGACCCUCUAUAAGGCAGAACCUUUUCCUUUUCCCCCGCGCCGAGCUUUGUUCUUGUCAGUGAGAUUCGAUGAUCUGGCUUCUUUCUUCUCUGGAAAAGUCAUAUACUCUGGUUAUUCUUUGGAUUUCAUAAGCUAACAAGUAUUCCAUAUUGUUGGCCAUGGAAUUUUGUCUAGCCCAACCCGACCUUUGGGAUUCUGGAAGUUCAUUUAUUGUUGUAGUUGCUACUAUUUUCGCCAGGGACAUCGAGUAAUCACCUUAUCUCUGCUGCUCGACUACUAUGGCUUGUAGAUUGAUUGGCAGAACAGAAGAAGGAGUGCUUUCAGACUUGCGCACUACUAAAAGGUAGCUAACGACUUCGCCGUCUUUCGAGCCUAUGUUGAGCUUCCUAAUCUGGCGUAAUAAUUAGAUCGUUAAGACAAACGCCGCCCUUUCCUUUCUUGACGUUCCUUUCAGAGCUUCUAACGCUGCUGCUAAAAAGAAAACACUAGUGCUUGACUCGACCCCGCGCCCGUCCUAUCCAAUGAAUAAGGGGCCUAUCGAUGACCGAGCCAGUCUUAUAUCCUUUAUACUUACCUCACACAACAAGCGAGAAAUGUUGAUGAGAAAGGAAGGGACAAGUCUCAAGGCAAACUACAGAGUGAUCUUUGAACGGUAAUACAUCCUGUAGAAUACAAGAGUGGUUUAUUUGGGUAUAGCAGGACUUGAACCUGCGACCAUUAGGUUAAAAGCCCAAUGCUCUACCAUCUGAGCUAUACACCCAUUUGAAAAUCCGGGUUGAUGCAGAAAAGAAAAGAGGGUGGCAAGGCUCCUUUUAUUCUUAUCAUAUCACAAAGGUGCGGCUCCGUAUGAGGCUCCUACUGCUGAGCAAGCAUCAAAACGUAAAGAGAAAGGGUUUCAAAAAGAGAAAGAUGCUGCCCUUAAGUAAUUGGGGUAGUUUGCUCCUUUCGCAAACCUGUAUUUAGAAGAUGCUGUUGUUUGCUCCUUUCCCACUCAUUGAAGAUUCUAUCUACAAAAUAAGGUAAACGGGGCUGGGGAGAAAUGUCAUAGAAUGGUUGCUCUUACUUAUACUAUCUACAAAUUCAAGUCAACUGGGGAGAAAUGUCAUAGAAUGGUUGCUCUUACUUAUACUAUAUACUAAAAGGAGUAAGGUCUACUGUCUGUCUUUGAAGGUCGGUCGUGUUUAUUUCUGUUAAGGUCGUGUUUCUUUCUGUUUUUCUGUCUUUCUUUCCUAGGCUAGGGUGAAAACUGGGUUCUAUGGUUUUACGUUGUUCCGGUCGAGCACUCUCUUCUCUUUGUCCAAUUCUGUAUGCGAACGGUUGUGAGGCUGGACCUGGGUCUGGAUUUGUUCAUUAAUCUAUGCCCUCCCUAUACUAUAUAGAAAUCUAAGGCACGGAAGUUGCUGGCCAGCGCCCACUCCACUCUUCGAGAGCCGCGGACAAGAAAGGAGUUGUGAUUGCUUCCGAUUCGAUAACGGGGAGAAUGCCUGGUUUAAGGUUCCAUACAGUAGGUAGCAGGCGUGUGAGUUUAGUCUUCCGAGCGAGAACGAGAAAGAGGCUUGAAGCACCUUGCUGCUAUGUACGUUGACCUUUACGGAUUCAUCCAAUCCAAUUGAACCUACACUAAAAGGAGGACUACAAGUUCAGGGCCGUCAAAGAAGUCAUCAGCAUUAUCAGAUCUUUAUUGGGGGUUAGCUGUUCCCUAUAGAAUGAAUAAGGAUAGUCCGGCAUUCAUUUCUGAAUUCAUAGCGGAGUAUACCAAAGAGCCAGCCUCAUCCUGGUGAUUAGAAGACACCUCUGAUCGUUCACCUCUAAUGCCUUCCCUACUAGAGUCAUAUUCGAAACUGGUUCCUAAGGCUAGAGAGCUGGACUAUUCAUCUUCUGGUCCGGGCCCUAGAGAGCAGAGCUGGACUAUUCAUCUUCUGGUCCGGGAAAGUUUCCCCUAUACUAAUACUAACCGAACUCCAAGUUAUACGGUCUUCGCGUAAACAUGUGUAGAUACUUAUUUCUGUCUUAGGCAGGUUACCUUUACCUUUUGACUUAGAAGAUGGAUCAGAUCUGGGCAAGGGAAAGCGCUGUGAGUGCGCCUAAUGCGUCUAUGCAUUUUCCAUUCUUUGUUAUUAGAUUCUAAGAUUCAUUCUUUUCCAUUCUUUGUUAUUAGAUUCUAAGAUGAAUUCUAUAGAAUGUGAUUCUAAGAUGGAUUCUAUAGAAUGUACAAUAUCUCUAGUGGUGGUGGCCGACGAUGUAUGUUGUCUGACCCGACCUCAGACUAUUUAUUGCCUACCUACCUACCUAUUUGACUCUCUGGCCUUAUUUAGGUAGCUUUGGAAGAGAUGGAAUUCCUCCCGGGAACACACGAAACUUGGAUAUUAACCAAUAGUAAUGGAAAUGGCAAUUCAUCCAAAUAAUAAUAUCUAUAUCUAUAUGAUCCAAACAAAGUAGAUCGGACCAUAUAAAUGAAAAAGCUAUCUUGCUUGGUCUAUGGAGUCCCAAUAAAGUAGGAACUCUAACCUGUACGAUGCUUCUUCGGGAAAAUACUAUAUCAAAGUGGGACCGCUGUGCACCGCUUCUUUUUAUGGUUCCGGAACUUGGUCGAAAUGGGGUUCUACCGGGAAUCUAGUUGGCCAUUGGUUACUGAUCGAGCCCUUUAUAUUUCAUAAGCUGGAAUAAGAUAAGUGAAAUAAGCUGGAAUAAGAUAAUAAUCUCUGGCCUCUCCACUUACUCGUAACUGGCUUUCCUUCCCUCUGUAUAAGAAAGACGGAUUAUGGCUUUCCUUCCCUCUGUAUAAGAAAGAUUCUGAAUGGCGUAAUUGUCCUAUUUCUCCUCCAUCUAGAAAUCCUAUUUAUCCUCCAUCUAUAAAGAAGCCUAAGCGGAUUGAUUCUCCUUUAAGAUAGGAUCGUUGUUGGUCCUUGUCCUUAUUGGACUAAGAAUCGUUUGAUCUCACCAUUUGCUAUCUAUAGUUGUUUGUUUGCUUGAAUGCUAGAGGGACUAUCCGAUCGAUUGCUUGCGCUUGCCACUCCCCUUUCCAAGAAAUAAGCCCCCCAACGGUCUCUCUAUUCUAUAAAGCGAAGCAAAGCGCAUGGCACUGAAGUGAAUAAAGCUAGCUCAAUAAAGACACACGAACACGAUGCAGGGCAUAGCAAGAAUGGAAACCUAUAUAGAAUAUAUAAAAACACAUGAUAGAGAGACCUUUAUCGAUGCUUUUGGGUAACUCGCUGUGAUCGAUGACUGAAUGGUACACGCUAAAAGAAUAGUCAUUGGAUUUUGUAGUUCUCCAUUGACAUUGACUUCUCUCUUUACCCCCCUCAUAGGCCGACGCAUAUGUUCUUCAUGGGACCUCCCACUCGAUCAAAGGUCCGGGGCAGGAGCUGACCUCCUACUCUCUUAUUAUGCAUUUAUUAGCUUAGCGGGACAACUCUUUUUUCAUAGUCAAGUGAGCUUUGGAGACCUUCUUCAAUACAGUAUAGCCUUUUCUUUGCCUUGUUCUCCGGGUCGGCUUUCACAUCCUUCUCAACGAUAGAUUCUUUUUGGUCACUUUAUUGCCCUCCCUAUUGGUUAUUGAGUUUGGUCACUUUAUUGCCCUAAUACCCCAUUUCGGAUUUCUUAGUUCAUCUUCCCCUUAAGCUAUCCGCAAGAUGGUAGCCCGGUGUUUUUGAUUCAAUAGAGAGCUGGUCCUUCCAUAAUCCGGACAAACUAGCACCCAACAUUGACGAAAGACCAAAGACGAAAGCAACAUUGAGCUAUCCCUACCGAAACACCCAACAUUGAGCUAUCCCUACCGAAAGAAAAGGAAAGGAACAGAAUAGGUCUUGUUACCUACUGGAGGAACUUCCCUGAACUCUCCCAAGGGGAUAAGAUUCUUAAGAAAUAAUAAUGCAAUGGAACUCUUUAGGGAAAUAAUGCAAUGGAACUGGGGAGAAGAUUCUUACGGGAAAUAAUGCAAUGGAACUGGGGAUAAGAUUCUUAAGAAAUAAUAAUGCAAUGGAACUCUGCCGAUAAAGACCUGCGUUGCGUGCCCCGAGUUCGAGCUAUUAGUAGUGCUAGUAUCAGUGUAAUCCGUAAUAGCAGCGCCAGUCUAAUGCCGAGGUCAGACCAAGGGAACUUCAGUAGGCUGACUUGGCACUUCCAGGUAACGAACGAGUCAUAGUGCGCCAACAUCUUUCAAUCUACAUCUAUCGAAUGGAGCUGCUAAAGACUCGGAUAAGAUAGUGCCUGAAAGAAAGGUUAUCGUGAGCUCGAGCUGGAGCUGCUCUAGCUUUUCUCCUUAGUUUUCGUUGUUCCCUUGGCCCAUUGGGAGGAGGGGUCGUUAGUUAUCUCGGCAUCGCGAAAAGCCCCAACAAGCCAAGCCAUCUCGCGCGCUUCGGUCCGAAUUAGUAUUAUUAAGGAAGCUCAUCGUACCUGCGUAUGGAGAAAGUCAACCUCACCUAAUCUAUUUGUCAGGACUCAAGUCGGUUCAGUAUAGCUCUGUCCACCUGGACCUUCGACGUCAGCAAAGCCUAGCUCGAAGUUGAAUCAGUUUGCUCUUUCUACAGCUCUGGAAGUUCUAAGGAAGUUUCAUUAGCUUUGGGUGUGGUUAAGUUCUGCUCUUCCUUAUCUUAGGACGCUUCGAACUCUCAAGUUUAGGAAGAAAGCAGCCAUUGCUCCCAUUUAGCAUUGAAACUAAACAAAAGAGUGAGUUAGAUUCCGAUUAAGCGAGGGAAGGAAGCCCGGGGUUGAUCAAGCAGUAACUAGCUGAUAGCAGCAUCAUUGGAAUGAAAUCAAAAUGGAAACGCAGGCAACCGGGAGAAUCGAAGUCACAUUCUCAUUCAUUCUACUAAGGUCGUAAGUCAUCGAGAUCUUUAUCCCGUUAUAACCAGUCAUACUAGGUGGGAAGGAUAGGGACGUUUUAUUGGCCCGGGGCCGGCUCCUCGAGCAGAUACAAUUCCAAUUCCGAAGCUCAUCUUCCCAUUACCGGCGGAGAACUCAAGGGCUCCAAAGAAAUCUCUCUCUUUAACUCCUUAGGUCUUGUUUUGUACUAAAUGAGUUGGUACCGUUUUGGCUUGACCAACAUCCAAUCUGCCGAACCAGGUGUCUAUAUAUACCUCCUCAUCAAGAUCCCAGGUGUCUAUAUAUACCUCCUCAUCAAGAUCCCCGUGAAGAAAUGCUCACAUCUAACUGAUAUACUGCCCACCAGUGAUAAGUAGCAAGGGCCGAACUGAGUCCCUUUGAGCAUUAAUGACUUGUUCAACCAAUUACUCUACCCCGUUCAUUAGGUAGGUUCAGUAGGAAGUGUCCCAGCCGUCGAAGUGAGUUGUUUCUCUUAUAGUAUAGAGGCUAUCUCUUAGUUCCGUAAGGGCAACUCUAACACUGUAAACCGAUGAGCCGAGGCUAUCUCUUAGUUCCGUAAGGGCAACUCUAACACUGUAAACCGAUGAGCCAAGCCCUUUAGUUUGCGAUAUAGUCUUAUCUCUUAGCCUGGGAAUACAGGAAGGGAGAAUUUGGCUAUGUACACUCUUAUCCCCUUCUUCGGGAGAAUUGUGCUAUGUAGGGAGUGGAAGAGAAGCCGAUAGCAAGUUAGCAGCGAGUUACCCCUGGAAAGAAGGAUGCGCUAGUUGUCCGAUCGAAGGGAGUAAUUUGAUUGGAUCCAAGCGUGUUGUUAGCCCUUGUUGUUAGCUCUUAGUAAUACGAAUGACUUUAUGAUGUAAGAAAAACAAACCCUAGUCUAGUAUCUUUACCGCUCAGUGGGCUAGUUGUCUGAUAGGAAAGGGUACUUCAAUACAAAUUCUAAGGCCGAGGAUGUAACGUUUGUUCAGGACCACAGGACGGGCUAGGGUCCCAGUUAUAUUAUAUACCUUGAUCUACUUAUUAUAUUACCUUAAGGAGUUCGAAAUAAUACUCUCAAGUAUGUUCAUAAUAAGGGUGCUCGGCUCGAUGCUAACGGAUCAAAUCAAGUCUCAAGUCUCUCAACGACGAAAGGUGAGCUUACUGACUGAAGCGGGUUAGUUAUAAGUUAGUGCGUGAGCUUUGGAGGAUAAGAUUGAAGUUUUGCCCCAACACAUUCGAAAUUGGUAUAGUAUAUGAAAUGAUUAAGUACUAGUAGUAAAGUGACUCCAUCAUAUCAUAUGCGGAUCAUGUGAAACAAGCUAGGGAACAAGCAACGGAACUAAGUUCGUAAGCGAGCGGAACACGAACAAGCAGCGCGCUAAUGCUUAACUCUAACCUUAAUUGUUUAUAAUGAGCAAGCCAACUUGAAACUGUAUUUCCACUACAACACUCGAAGGAACUGAACUCCACUCGUAUUCUACUCUACAACAGGGACACCCCGAUCCUAUAGUCGCCCUUUUUGAGAACUUGAACCUUUAACCUAUCGCAUUAGCCGAUCAAACUUUCAUGGAAUUUCUCUCUUCUUAUUUCUUCUAUACGGUACGGGACUCUAUUCCCUUAUUCCAACCUCGACUUAAACAUCAUUUGAAUCUAUCGCAGAAGAAAAGAUUGGAGGAGAAGACUACUGCGUUCAAUUCUGUAACUCCUACUUUCCUACUUGGUAGCUGAACGUACCUUUCUUCACCGACAACACCACUGUCAAUCCAUAAUUCCACUCUAAAGUCAGGGCACUAAGAAUAGUUUACUGACACUAAGAAUAAGGUUACUGCUGGAAAACAGGAGACUGAUUAGUAUCAAAAUGGUGAGAAGUAGACUAAGGCGAGUAAUAUAGUAAGGAAGAAUAAGGUGCUCUAGUUCCAAAAGUAGAGGUUUUUCAAUGACAAAUCGGAAUUGGAGAGGUAUCGCUGGGGAAGGUCAGUUUAUAGGUAGAGCUCGGGCAGGGAAGUUUUCAGAAUGAAGUGCUCUUUAUCGAAAGUAAGCUUAUGAAUGACCAGUUUCCAUAGCUUUCUUCUUGUCAAUAGGAGUUUGAUCCCAAGUUGUUAGUUUGAUCCACUCCCCCAACGGUAAGUAUUAAUUCCGAGUAGGAUUCCUGUUAGCCUCAGUUCAGUUACUUUUAUGUCAAAGAUCAAGUCUGAUCGGCAGUAAGCUAAAAUCGUAGUUCCCAGUUAUCAGAUCAGAAACACCAGUUGGCAUUCCCCUCUUUUAUUCUGACUUGACUGAUCUCAUAUCCGUGUAUUUCACCCUAGAAUUGGGCUACUCCUUCCUAUUAGUAGAUGUGCUAUAGUUCCUGUCUUUGGUUCUUACUAUCCUGUCUCUUAUUCUUCAAUUGAGUACCUUAGCUCUGUAUUACCUUACAGAAGACUUAGGCCAGCGACUAUACUAGCAUUUACCACUAACAAGCCUGCUCUCAUAUCUUUAGUGAACCUAACAAAGUCUCUCUUUCCUUACUCCCAAUCUGAUAUCCUUUCUUUGACUUGUGCUUUUAAGAAUAGAAUACAACUAAGCACUAAUGUGAAUGGAACUGCCACUAACAAGGCUGAUGCACUAUCUAAUGGAUCUAGCUCUAAACCGGGAAACCAGCUACUACCUUUGAGGCUAUAACUACGGAGCCUAAUCAAUACGAGUCAGAACCAAACUAUCCAAAUCGAACUUAUAAGUAAGAUGCAUCGUACUGGUCGGGAACUCCGGAUUUAGCUAGUGCUGACAAGCUUUUAACUGGUUGAUGGAAAGAACGAAAACGGGAAUCCAACCACUGCUAUAUAACGAAUGAAACUAAGAAGUUCUCUAUUUGCAUUUCAAACCUAUACUAAUCCACCAACUCACCCUGUGGUCUCCUACUACUUCUACUGAUAAGAAGAAACCUGGAAAUAAAGGAAGGUAGGGUAGCCAGGAAAGUCAGCCUAAAAGUAAGCCAGAGCAGACUCAUAGUUCAUGUAAAGGCAGAGUGACUGGGGUUAUAGAAUCGAAGAAGCAAGUAGGAAACUUAAGGCGCGGGGAGGAGACACUCAAUUCCUUAUCCGUUAUUUCAUUAUCUGAGGUACUAGUUACAGCCUUUCCAGUUGUGUUUGUAUUCUCUAUUUCGAGUUUGACUCUUCUAUUAGUGGUUGACUCCCUGUUAGUUUUUCCAUUAUUAUUGAUAGUAGCUGCAGGUCUUAGUUCCGAGUGAAGGUCCUAGAAGCGGAGGAGUCAGUCUAUAUUCUUUGGUUUACUACUCUUUUCCCUGGAUGCACUAGAUCCUACUUAUAUUCUUUAUUCCCGGGUGAGUUCUGAUAGUUAGAUUCGCUCUGAUAGUUAGUCGUUUUUGUCUUAGAAGCCGCCAGUUAAUUAAGGGUUGACAGUUGCAUUCUGGAUUUACCAAUCAGUAAAGAUAUCAGUUACAAAUGAAGAAAUAUAUAAGUCAAAAACCAAUUCGAACAGCUCUUAUUGGGUUUGACCCCCUUUCGAAUAAACCCAAUUGAGCUUAUGAUGCAUUUCAAGCCUAUCAAACAAACAGGAGUCAAAGAAUCCCCUCUUUCCCAACUAGUGAUAAUAAGGAUUGACACCACUAAUAGAAAGAUUGAAAACAGAGACAGGGAUAUUGAGGACAGUCAAGGGGGAAUCGAACAAGCAAGUAAGAGAAUGAACCCACUACUGAUAAGAACAGAACUCGGCAAGCAAAUACGUACAAUAAGAAUAUCGCGACUUACUUAUUAGAACGAAACCGAUGCUUACAGCCAAGUCACUGCUACAAGCACAACUGCAAGAAAGGAAUGCAAAUAGCCAAGAAACUACCAAACUACCAACCUUCCCCGGGCUUUCAAACUCACUAUGUUUAUACGCUUAUCUAUUAUCUUAUAUUUAUACAAUCACUCAUCUAUUCUCUUUGACUAUAGUAUGCUUCUAUUGAUUGAUUUCCUCCCUCCCCUAUUGAUCGAUUUCCUAUUCUGGUCAUCUGACUUUUGAUUUGAAGUAGUUAGUGCACUGUUUGAUUCUCAUAGUGACGUAUAAGACUCACGUAUUGCGUAAUUAGAUUAGAUUAGUGCCCCGACUUUCCUGCCUGAAAGUGUACCUUCCUGUCCAACUUCCCCAGCUUAUGGUCUCGUUGCCAACACUCAAGGUCUGACUUCCCUUCCCGCUUUCUUGAUACUAAUAGAUUUCCCGCUUACCUUUACAGCUACGUGGGCAUGAGAGAGAGAACUUGAUACUUAUAACUAACCGCUACGUGGGGGAAUAAGUUGUUCUUCAAAGGACUCAGAGACGUCAAGCCAACAAACAAGGAUUCUACUUAGAAAGCUUACUUUGACACAGAUCCUAAUCAUCCUUCUUUUGCUUACUCACCGGAUCUUGCUUUUACUUCGACUUCCGAUCCUUAUCUAACUUAUUAUUUAGAUCCUUUCUUUAUACUAUUAAUCUGGAUCCGCUCUAACAACUUACUUUAGCACAGAAACAUUAUUUCCUGAUACCCUGAAAACUGGUGAUUCAUUCUGAUUGCCAACACCAACAGAUGAAACUGGGGAUCCAACUCAAGCUAUGGCACCUUUGAACUAUCACUAUAGAGCCCCAACCUCUUCUUCUUAUUCUUAUUAUUAUUAACCAUAUUCCUAUCUUAUUGGGUAGUGUUUCAAUCUGAUAGUAAGCAGUGAAGGUCUAAUCAGUACUAGGUCAGUUCUCAUAGCUGUCCCCCGGCUUCUAACUCUUUCGCUAUUGAUCUCAAUUCCCUAUAUCUGUUGGCAUUAACUUAAACUCCCGCUUCUAUCUCUUAGGCUUAUUAUGGGACACUCUACUCUUUAUUUACUAGUGUUAGAGUAUGCCUUUCCUUCCUUUGCUUCUUAUACUCCUGUGGUGAAGUCCGCCUUUCCGCCCAAGCAAAUACUGGGACCUAUGCUCUUAUCUUAAUCUUCUAUCUUCUAUACCAGAGCCAAGCCUUAUUGUAUCUAUUCUAUUAUUAAUAGUAGUUGUCGAGUGCGGGUCGGGUGCUUAUGUACUGUUAUGAGUCUAUUACAGUAUUGGACGCGCUAUGCUUCUCUUAUAAUGUAAUGAGGAGCCGGGACAUGGGAUACUAACAACAGAGUAGAAGAAACAAUAUAUUUCACGCCGGAACUAACAUCGAAAUGGAAAGAGAAAAAAGGAUAGUCAGAAUAAGAGUCUGCAGCAAAGUCAAGCAAGGUCCGAAUCACUAUUGAAAGAAUUAUGGGCGCUAGUUGUAUUAUGAAAAGCAGUAAAGGCGGGCUUACUUCACCAAGUAAUGCGAAAAUUCUAUUAUCUUAUGAAAUGGUAGAAGGAUCUCUGGAAUCCAGAAAACAAGUAUAUGUAUUUGAUUGAGGAAUAUAACGGUAGGCACAAAGCAAGGGGCAUAAAGGUAAGGCUUCGUAUAAGUUUUUAGAGAAUGAGUUCCGAGUUAGAGGAUUAUCUGCAAUAGCUGUCUAGAGUCAAUAGUAAGCACAGCACCAGCCAUAGGUUGAAACCAAGGCAAGAGAGAAUGAAAACAAGUUGUGGCAGACUUUGUUUAGUAUCGGUAGCUCAAUUCCCAGUUAGUUAGGGCGAGUUCACUGAGUUCGAUACAGUGUAUUGAGUGCAACUCUGACUAGCACUGGUUGCAUUCCAAGUUUCAUUAUUCAAUUAGGUAUUCGUAUGGAAAGUUCUUUCAUAUAAUAUUGAUUAGUUUAAUAAGCAGAAAGGAGCGGAUAAGUACAUUGAAUCAUGAAAUCGAUAAAUCAUAAUGAGUUGUUGUUCGCCCGUGGAUUGAUGGGUUCUACCUAAAGAAUGAGUGGAUGGUUACUCUAAGACGGUCGAUCAUAGAAUGAGUGUUCUGUUCUGUUACUUAAGGAAGGUCCGAUGUCAGAUUCUCCUGUGAUUGAUUGCCCUGAUUGAUUACCCUGUGAUUAAUUACCGAGGUACAUUCGCUGCCCGGGUUUGUUGAAGGGUUGCACGUCCGCUAGCCUCUCCCUUGGGUAUGUGGUGGGUAUGUCGAUGGAUACGUCGAUGGGCGCGUGGGGGGUAUGUGCUUAAUUAUUUGACAUUAGAAUGCAUUUUCUUAUUUAUUAUUAUUCAAUUGAUUUCUAUUUUCUAGUGGGUUUCUUACUUACAUCUUAUUGGUCUAAAAAGCAGCUCCACUAUCCCGGUUUUGAGGCUCAUUUUCUCUUUUCCAUUUCUAUGUCCGGUGGUGCAGUUGCCCUAUGCCCCGGGGUACGCUCACAGAGGUCUCAAUCAAUAGGAGUGCUGUGUCCCAUAAUCAACAUAAUCAAUAGGAGUGCUGUGUCCCAUAAUCAACAUAAUCAAUAGGGGUGCUGUGUCCCAGGGUAAUAAUUAGGGCAAUCAUAGGUUCAAUCAAUCAAUAAUAGGCGUGUGUUGCGCGUGUCAAUCUCAAUAGAGAUAGUUUGAUUGUCAAUAGGGUCAAUAGGGAUGGUAUGAUCUGUCAAUAGGGAUGGUAUGAUCCUCACUCCUAAUACACCAUGCAUCCUUACUUUCUAAUUGAAAUCUUCCGAUACAGCUUCCCUUAUAGGCAAUAGCAUCCUUACUCCUUACUUCGAUUCCCGUGAUUGCGUGUUAGCCCGCUUUGAUUUGGACUUGUUUAUUUCAUUAUUCAAUUAAGUAUUGCGCUCACUUAUAUUAAUAUGAUUCUGUUCACUGAUAACUUCUAUUAGAAUUGGUUUUGUAACUCAUCUAUUAUCUUAUCAUAAUGGAGUACUAGCAAAACUCUCACUACUACUGGAAAGAAUGAACCCAAUGCGAAUUAUCCCUCGCACCCACUAUUAGACCGAAACAAGUAGACCGAAACAAGCGCUUCUAAUACUGUUCACUAUAGUAAGGUGCUAAAAGCCUAGUGCUGACACGAACCUAGCUCUAAACGAACUCUUCCCUGACUUGCCAGAGUAUCAGUACCCUAACGGACUUAUCAGAAAAUAAGGGAAUCAAACUACCACUAGCAAGAAGCAACCUAAGAAGCCAGAACUGAGCCAGUAAGCCAAAGAACGAAACAUGGACAAACUAUAAUGGAGAACCACCACUACCAAUACAGCAAUUCGAAAAAGGGAAUUGAGCUAUACCCCCUAAGCUAAGGCAAGGACUAAAUUACUGCUUAACCAGAAUAGAACUAAUGCUAAUACGACUUAAUCGCAUAACCCAGGCUUUCGCUACUACUGACAAGGCUACUACGCCCGGUUCUAAGCUGUUUCUCGUUCCCCACCAACACUGACCUCAAAUCUGAUAUUCCUCGCUUUCAUGCUUCAUUUCGGUUCUUCUACUCUUUACUUGAAGACUAAAACAACCUGUUCUCUUUCUUUAGCUGCUGAUCCCAAUUCUCUGUCUCUUGAUGCCAACUUCAACUCUCGCUUCCAUGUCUCUACUACAGGACUACCAGUCUUCUACUCAGCAUCUGGUAUCAAACUUCGAAUUGAACUCGCCGGUUACCUAGACUCUGACAACUAAUUACAUUAUACGGAAUUGAGAAUGGAAUGAUCAACUAAAGGCUCUAAUGUGACUUUCCUCUCUGCUAACUUAAUGAGGCUUAUCUAACUCUGGCUACUCACCCUUACCCUGCUUUGCUUCUCUUCUCGAGUAGACCUGGCCUUCCGCUUAGAGUCAAGCAGUAAUAGUAAUUUGUUUUAGCCGAGUAUCGACUCAAGCCAAGCAUCUGAUCUUUCUGCCUCUAGCUCUACUUUCUUGAUUUCGAAGAGCACUGGAUUGAUUAUAGAAGCUUAUAUAACAGAUCUUAUUCAACAGCCAAUCUCUAGCCUCUUGCUCUACUGGAUUGAUUUCUUCCCUGCCCGCUUCAAUCAAAGCCUGUAAUGAACCUAGCCUCAAAGCCGAUACUUGACUCGCCCCUCUCGCUACUCGCAACAAGCACUGAUGAAACUGCCCCUCUGGCAACAAUACUAUAGGCAAGAGCUGUUCUUGUUGUUGUUUAAUGCCGGUAGUACUGCUCGAGUUAUAAAAGUGGGGAUGCUGCCCUAGUAGUAAACUUUGUUUCAUUCAAUUGACUAGCUAACCUGUCCUCUUUUCAACCCAGUAAAGCUCUUUUCAAUCCUCUUUCACUCCCCUGGUGCAUUCAAUUCCAGUGCAUUCAAUUACAUUCUUCUAGUAAUAGAAAUUCCAUUAUAGGUAUUCUAGUUUACUUACAGCAAUAACGCAUAUAGAGAAGAAUUGCACAAAUAAGUAUAAGAGUUGCCUGUCGGAUUAGCAAGAAAUAAAGUCUAGAUUUGACUCCUUAGCAACAGUAGCUGCAGUAGUUAGUAUAAGUAAUAGCCUUAGCUACAGUAGCAAUAGUAGGCAUAUAGUAGCAACAGGGUAUAAGCAGUAGAUGCAUAAGCCUAAGUAGAUGCAUAAGCCUAAGCAGUACUAUAAGUAGCAAUAAGCCUCAGUAUUAGUAGCGAUAAGCAGUAGUAUAAGUAGUAUUGCAUUAAGUAGUAGUUAGUAUAUGCAUUAGCCUAUGAAGACCAGAGAAUGAGCUAGAGGUGAUAGUGCUUGUGUUUCUAAGAUACUGGUUCGGUGCUUUAGUGGUGGAGGCGCAUCUACCUUUUCAAGACCAUUCCAUUCUUCAGUAGGAGCAGAGACAGCUGUGGAGGCAGUCUAAAGUAAGGAAGCUGCCCUAGUAGUCUGCGUAUAAAGAGGAAUAAGGUGCUGAAAGCCUAGUAUAAGGAGGAAUACGGAAUUGAUCCAACCAAGGUAAGAAAAAGAAGAAAACCCUCAUCCAAAGAAACGGAAUCAUUGUCCUGUGCUCGCCUGUCCUUCUGCCCUAUUAUAAAGUAUGCUGCUUCCUUUGAUGGUUCCCUUGCCCGAGUGGGUUGAAGCAAAGUCCUGAUCGGUUGAAAUCGUUCAGUAAAAGUUUUCAUCGUUCCUGUUUUAAUAGCGUCAGGAGUUACGGGUUGAGAAGAGGCUUGCUUUAUCAUUAGCUCCACCGUAUCGUAGUAGAUUCCACAUAAUAGGAGAAGAGCUGCCCUACCGCCGUGAAUACCUUACUUGCUCAUAACAAGUCAAUAAAGUCAAGAAGUUUUAAUUCGACUCCAGGGUAAGAAAAAGCAUAAUAAGAGUGCCCCUCCUAGCCUAGGUAUUCCAUAAAGUGGUUUGGCUGUUCUUAUUCCAUUCCAUUCUGAUUUAUUGCUUUAGUAGUUGCGUGGCUCAAUGCAAAAAGAAAUGACUAUUACUGCUUUACUCUAAGCGGAAGGGAAGGAAGAGAAUCUAGCUCUUUCUUUUAAAAACGAGUAGUUGCGGCUGAGUGGCUUGGCUCAUUCUUGUUGUUGGCGAAAGAGAGAUACAAUCAAUCCAGUGUGGGUCGGGGGUUCAUUUACAUGCUUUCUUCGCAAGGGGAGGAGCUUUAUGUGCCAGUGUUGUAAGGAAAGGAAUCCGAUUCAUUCGGGUUAUGCCCUUCAAAGCUAUAUUCUCACUUUCUUCUAGUUUCCUCGGUGCUAACAUUCAAUUCCAUUCUUCUAACGACUAAGAGAUCACUUUAUAACUCUCCUUGCUGAACCAACAAGACAAACGACAUUGCCAACACCUAGAUCCACUAGUUCUCUUGGCGACCUACCCUGACUUGCGCCUCGCCAAACUCCCUUAACUGACUGCGACCUCUUAUCUAUGGCAACUAUUAUAGGUACCCCAUCGAGACUCUAAUCCCACUGCUCCUUCACUGGGUGUUAGAGAUGCAUACGUGCUCUUUGCAGAGGUAGGGGCGAGAUACUUGCUAUGUGCUAGGGAUCGGAACAGGCCAAAUAACAGUUAAGUAAGGGGCGGGAAGGGCUGGCAAUACUUGUUCCUGUUAACGAGAGGGCUGGUCUAUCUUGCUUUAGUUGCUAGGCGUGUAGGGGCGGAGAAUCUAAAAGAGGGCGAGUAACGUCUCGAUGUCGACUUUCUUUCUUUAUAAUCAAAUAAGAAAAAUAGGAUUCCACACGGAGCUUUCUGGUUCCCUUGCCUAGCCAGGAGAGUCUCCUUGAGUGCUCGUUUCCAGAGUCAACCUGUGUGCGUCUGUUCUGGCAAAGGGGAAGAAGGAGAAGAUUGCACUUUCCCUGACGCGAGCUACUUUCCCGUUCCCGGGGUGGAAACCACUUGACUUUCUACAACACCCCCGCUUGAUGGUUCCCUUGUGCUAACGAGAGUGACUGUUUUCAUCAGCUUACGGAGCUGCACCGGUAAGUAUCUAAUUAUGUAUAGAAGCGGGUGACUCUGCAAGUGUAUAGUGUAUUCGGGGUGAACUCAACUCUACCUCUGUGCUAUAUGAGUAGGUGUGUAGCUUUCCUCUGUGCUUUAGUGCAAUGUAUAGAUGUAAGUGAACCUAUAAUGUAAUAGAAUGUAUGUAAGUAAUGUCAUAGAAUGGAUGUAAGUAAACCUAUAAUGUAAUAGAAUGUAUGUAAGUGAACCGUAAAAACGGUUCUAUCCCGAAACAACGGAUCGCAGAUCCCAUCCCAAACUAAAAAGGGACUCUGUCUACCGAACAAGGAUCUUCCCAUCCUUCCACCAAAGCCACAAAACCUCCUGUAUCACCAUCUACACCCAAAGAGGGAUAAGCCUAUUCUAAGGGAAGAUAAAGCCCUACAGAAAAGAGAUCUAAAGCACCCCAGAGAAAUAGAUCCCUACCUGGUAAAGAUAUACUCAAUAGAUGGACCACUCUUUGCGGGAAGAGAGAGGAACCAUGGAUAGACGACUCUUUCCGGGAAGAGAGAGGACAUGGAAUAGCCAUUGGAUUCGAUCCGAUAGACCCUUCGUAUGGAUACUCCUAUCAAGACGCACUUUUAGGCCAUUUUCUUAGCGGAGGCAAACAAAGUCAAGUACUCAAGGGAGAAGCAAGCGAAAUCAAUUCCGUAAUAACCUUAAGGGGCCAGCUAGCUAUAAAUCUCCUAAGAAAACCCAUCCAUAAAGAAAGGAAAGGCCAAGGCGGGUACAUGGACUUACUAGAAAUCUUACCCGAGGAACUGCAAGAGGCUCGCAAGCAUUAGGAUAAGAAAGGAGAACCAAGGCAAGCACAUGGCCUGCAAGUUCGCUUGGAAGGAUAUUGUUCUCAGUGAUAGCAAGAGCCCUUGAAGUCUUUGAGUCUUCUAUUUAUUCACUAUUUACCUACUUCUAUUAUUAUCUACAGGUANNNNNNNNNNNNNNNNNNNNGCUUUCUUUGGAAGAGGGGAACUCUCAAGAGAAAGACAGACAGAAACAGUAAAGGCUUGCGCAAUUGGAGGUGCAGACUUUAGCACUAUUUCUCGCUCGAAGGAUAACUCAAGGCUCAAAAGAAAUACAGGCGCAGAAAGAUUAGAUGCCUUUAGGAAUGCUACCUUUAAGACUCAAACUAGAUCGAAUGGAGAAGGGCUGGAGUGAAAGCGAAAUCCAAGACAUGACAGCGGAAUAACAACUCUAAACAGUCGAAGUAAGUAGGUCAAUGCCAAUGAUAAAGACGCCUAGAAAAGUCCUAAGGAAAGCAAAUAACAUAGAAAAUCAGAGGUGUUGUAGCAGUUAAGUAUCCAGGUGUUAACGACGAAACGGAAUAUGAAUUAGAGUUUCCCCUGGUUGUAGAGAAUUGCCGGAUAGUACCGCUCGCUAUUCCCUGUCAUAGAGUUCCAUUUCUUGAUCUUUGAUGGUUCCGUUGCUUGUCGACUUGUUUAAUUGAAAAAGUAGGAAUGGAGUUUAAGACUGACUAACGCGAAAGGGCUCUGGUCUCUGGGAAUGAGGGCGGUGCGAGUGAAGUUGUAUCAAUUGGGCGUUUGUAAGCUGCAAUGAUGGUUGUCUUUGAAAUUCCUACCUGUAAUGCUCUUAAGUCCCUAGGUGUUAUAUAACAUCAGCGAUGAAAUCAAUCUUGGACUGAAGACUCCACUGUUACUGUCUUUACUGCUAGGUACGGGAACUAGAUGUGAUUCCCUCUAAGUAAAUCUGUUAUUGGCACUUUAUUGACCCUUAUUGUCCACUAGGUCUGAAGCAGUAUAAAGGUUAGGUCAGAGGUCAGCAGCGAGAUAAGUUAUUGGCUCUAAGUCAGUUCACUACACGGUUAUAGCUUUGGGUGGUAUAGUCUCUUUGUGCUUCUGUAGCGCUUAUUGAAUGAGUUUAAUCUGUUUGAGUUGGCGCCGGGCAAGAAUCGAGUAUUUGCUUUAAAGCAAAGAAAGGGAUAGUAAGGAGAUCUUUAUUAUAAGCUUUCAAAUCAACAGUUAGGUAACUUCUUUCUAUACGAGAAGAUAGAUAUUCCAAUUCAGAACUGAAAUACGCUGUUGGGUAAGCAUAUUCCUAUUGAUCAGUUGAAAGAUCCGUUUCAGACUCAGCUCAGGAUCAGAUGAUGCAGUGCUUGUUAAGUCGACUCAAUAAUCCGCAUCUGCGGGAUCAGUAGAAGGACCUGAGGCGGGAGAAGACAAACAAUCAGAAGCGGGAAGUUUUGUUUCCCGUAUAGUUCCUGGAGAUCAAGGUAGGGCAGUUCGCGUUGCUUGGUUAUACGUUACUUGGCUUAAUUGAAUGCACAACCUAUAGAAGUGCGGAACCAUACUCUCAACUCAACAACCUAUAGAAAUGCGGAACCAUACUCUCAACUCAACAACUCAAGAAGUGCGGAACCGGACCAUACUCUCAACUCAACAACUCCGCUAGGCACCUCGAAGCACUAAACAAUAAGAAGUGAGCUUGUUCUCUAUACUUCAAAGACGGGAAGUUAGCGGGCAUUUCUUUUAGUUGGGUCGUUGUAGGGCUGUAACCCUGAUUUGGAGUCGUUUAAGUCAUGUUCCACUCUUCUUAUCAUCCCCAUGAAAACUCAUAAACAGGCCUAGCAAAGCAGUUUAGCCGAACGAAUAUAUGACUGUUAUUCAAAUACCUAAUGGAUUCUUGUUUACUGCUAAUAGAUUCUUGUUUACUGUUCCUAAUGCAGUUAAUCUCACUGUUAUUAUAAUGCCUAAUAGAUGACUGUUCCUAAUGCCUAAUAGAUGACUGUUCCUACUAUUUCUUGUAGUUGCGUGUCUGUGUGUUUCUUUUGCCGGCAAACUCGUCCAAAUAUUGUAAUGGUGAUAUCCCAAUGUCCAAAGAUGAAGGGCAGGGAGAGGUCAACUUAAAGGGAAAGGGGUCGGGUCAAAGUUAAUGGAUUCCUUUUUCCUAUCUAAAUAAAGCCCUAUAAAAGUGAAUGCCUUCCUAAGCGGGGUCGGGUCGCUAAUGACUCUUUUACGACGCCUGUGUCGCUGUCUUUCGCGGAACAAUAAAUACAUUCUUAUGGAACUUUAAUCAUAAGCAAGAAUCCCAUUCCAUUCCUGUAGGUGAAGCAUUUUAUGGCCAUUGCUUCCACUCCUGCCUUUCAUUCAUGUGUAGAGAAUAAUUCCCCUGAUGUUUCAAAGCUUGACUAGACAAGUCUUGAACCAAUCGAGAACUUCCUUUCACCUGGGACUGAUCUUAUCCCACUGUUCGCUAACACUCAACCUAAGGAUUCCCACUCUCCAUCACCAAUGGCAAAGAUCAAGACGUUACCAACAACUAUGGAGUGUGAGAAGUGCCCAACUCUAUAUGCUUUCUUCUCCACAACUACUAUAAAUAGAAAGAAAGGCUGGUAUUUCCAAUACUGGAUGAAAUGAUUCCAACAACUACAUCAAAAGGGGGGCGACUCCUGCCAAUCAUGAAAUCUAAAAAGAACGAAAGAGCUAGCAGCCAAAAGGACUUACAGGACAAGCAGCUCGAAGAUCGGCUCUUGAUCUCAGAUACCCAUGAAAGUCCGGAUCGAGGUUUGGUUGCAGAUGAAAACGGGGUUAAGCUGCUCUAUUCUCCCAUUUGGACCUUGGGGCCGAUAAGAUUCCCAAAUUCAGAAUGCUGAAAUUCCACCUUUUCUUUUUAUCGCGAAUCAGAGAAUGCCUCAACUAUAACUCAUUGUGCGCUCAUGAAAGGCGCUAAUCCUCUACACCUUAGCAUAUACCCUAUGAAUAGAAACUACCAUUUAUCACCCCGAAUAGAAACUUCCAACAAUGAAAUGAGCGGUACCCGCGAGCUAGGAGCCCAACCGAAGCAGCUGCUCUUUGAUCCCAUUUGAGCCUUUGGGACCAAGAACAAACUCAAGAUAAGCAUCCUAUCGUGAGUAUUCAUGGUGCAAUUUGGUUUGGAUUGUUUUUUAGAAUCACAUGGCCGGUCAAUCAAAUCUAUAUAUCUCGCUUAGGAUUCUCACUAAGACCUUAUCUACGACAAGCAAGCUUCAGACGAGAAAGAAAGAAUAGAAGAGAAGCGGCUCACUCUGAGUGAGGAACAGAUCGAGCCGAGCUAGCUGAAAGCAAUAAAGAAGCUUCGCUUCCUCGGUUGAAACCUUAUAAUUGACACAGAAAGAUGAACUCGGAAAGAAAGACAAGGCCAAGGCGCGAGCACGACUAUAUAUACUAUGAUUUACAUGAUAUCCAGAAAAGAGCCACUAAGAUGAUCACACCGUUGCCCACUCCAGGGAUCGCAUCCGACAGGCUGCUACCCGGCUGGAAUCCACAAAACCAGAAGCUUUCCAGGUGCAUCAUAUAUAAGAAAGUCUGUCUUUAUUUUCACAGCUAAAACAGCAAGCGCCGGUCUUCGCUCUUCGAAAGAAAUACUAUUCUAAGUGGGGAACCAUAGACAAGCCAAGCGCUAAGUUCGGAUACGACCGUGCUAGGAUCAUACGGACAGACAGCUACCAUAAUAGAUCGAGUGGUGACAUCGGCAGGAGAGGCGGAAGCACAGGUAGGGCAAAGUCAGAAUAAUUGGUUUACUGGGCCUAGGAACUACCAUCGGUCGGGGCCUAAGGCUUUCAGCUCCUCGUUUUUCGUUCGUGCCCCCGUAAGUCAUUGUUGGCGGUGGAGUGUGUUAGUCUUUAGUUGUGCGAAGCGUUGUUGAUACUCAACUCACUGCUUUCACCUGCUUCCGGUGACAACUACAACUCUCUUAUGAAUGGUAGGGUGGAGUACCAAGACAUAGGGGUUGGCCGGCUUCUAAGGUUUCUUUAGUCCCAAUUCGAAGGUUCCUUUUGGAGGUUGUAGGAAUAAGAGGGAGACCCCCUGCUGCCCGCGUUUUCGAUCGAUCCACAAGAUCAGCAAGUCGGAAGUGUUCGCGCUCGGGCAUCCUGUUCAAGCCGUCGUCAAGUCCUCGAGCAAUUCAGAGCUCCUAUGUCUUGCUCGCUGAGGAAAGAUUGUCUCGGCUGUGUAAGCGUUCGUUCAUCGGCCUUCUCCCUCAGUCCCGAUGUCCUUAUUCGCAAAGGAACGCAAAGCCCUUGGAUGAGUCUGGUACCUCAGCGCAUGCGUUUUUAUCAGCAUCCUUUUAAGGUUCUCCUCGGAGUAAGGUCAAAGCGCCAACCAACCCUUCGGACACUUUGAUCUCCUCUACGGUUUGUUCCCUUGCUUGAGUAAGAGAUAGAUAUUCCUUGUCUGUACUAAGGCAGGUAGUAGCAGUAGGACUGGACUAAAGGUGAGUUUCAUAGCGCCUGGUAGUCCCAUGCCUUAUCCUUACUUGUGUUUGACUUUAUUCUACUUGACCAUAAGGGGGUAAUUAAUGUCAUACUUCGGUAAACUAAGAAUGAAUUGACGGAACAACUUAUACCAGUUGAAGCGCUAAGCAUAUUCCUGAGAGUUCCAGAAGCUGCAAGCAACGAACAAGUAAGAGCUAACGGAAGGUUGAGUCGAGUUAUGAGUUAGCGAGUUGCCCGGGUUUUCUUUCGUAGUGACUUGAGACUUGGAAUCGAAAUGAGAUAACUGAACUGAGAAUUGGAUUGAGUUAGGGCCUGUGUACUAUAUGGCCUCUUCUUUUCUGAGGGUACCGAUGGCUAUUGUACUGGGUGAAGUGAUUUUUGUAUCGUAUAUUUAUUGGAAGUGGUCUUCUUGCUCUUGUACAGGAAAGGCGGCGGGUUCAUAUUCAUAGUGGAAUCUAUCUUCUCUUCAGUUGCCGGGUUCAUAUUCAUAGUGGAAUCUAUCUUCUGUUGCCCAUUGCGAGUUCAGGGAAAGAAUGAAGUGUUUGUAGUGGAAAGUGUUUGUAGUGGAAUCUAUCUUAUGGUGGUGCGCGGGUUCAGGGAAAGAAUGAAGCCAGUACUUCUAAAGAAACCAGUCUCUUAUGAGUUGGCUUUCGCCUAUAGCUUUCUAUAGUUCUUUCUUAUAGCUUGAGCUAGAGUAUGGGUUGGAUGCUUUACUUCUUUCGUAUAAAAAACGGAAUAUCAACUCGGUGUUGGCUUACGGAAGGGGUCGCUAAGGAAAAGUGAGUGGAUCUCGCCCAAAGCAGCCUUACGUGGGUUGAAAAAGAUGAGACUUCUCUUGCUAAGAAAGCAGAGUGGAAAAACAGUACUAGCCGACUUUUGACUUCUCUUGCUAAGAAAGCUCUUUUGUAAAACUAUACUAGCGACUUGAUAGUUGACUUCACUUCUCUUGCAUCAAACGACUGGACUUCGAGAGCAUUAAAGAACAAAGCCGGUGUUUAACAACAAAGGGAUACUAUAAGGAUAAGGCGUUACUUCUUCUCUAACUUGACUUGUGUACUUGACUUCUUCCCCAAAGUGUUGUAUAAUAAAUAAUCUGAGUUUGUCACUAAUUUCAUAGAAAGAACCUUACGCCAAUAACACAUAUGGAAGCUAACGCCAAUGACACAUAUAUCAUAUAAAUAAAGGCACUUUAAAUCGUUGUGUGUCCGUGAAUUUCAUUGAUUAUCAUCUAGAUGGUCAGUCCAUAUAGUAUUGAUAGGGUGCCUACAGGAUUCCGUCUAUUUGGGUACUAGGUCAGCUAAGAUGUUUCUCCGUGUAGUUACAGCUUUCAGGUACAGUCAUCAAAUCAAGGGUCAGAAAUGACAAUCAAACCAGAAAUAUGGUCUCUAACGUUCGGAUGCUUAUAUGUGUUAAAGAAGCAAGCAAUAAAGUCUAGCGUUCAGAUGCCGAUAUGGAAAAUAAUACAGGGAUUGAUUGUUUGACCCCUUUGAAAGGGAGCUUGGUAGCCCGUUUGUUUUGGGUGCAUAGUGACACAGGUUCCAAUCCAGUCCUACCUAUUACUUCAACUAUGGGCAGUUUGGAGGUAGAUUCAUUGAGAUCGAUUCUCAUUGGACAUAAUCUGAAGGUCUUGCAUACCAUCUUAUUUCUAGAUGUAUUGGGUGGUUGGUCUUGCAUACAAGUUGACUCUCUAAUUCUAGCAAGAUGUAUUGGUUGGUCUUGCAUACUAUAUUCUAUGUAUUGGGGGUAGAAAAAGCACUUCUCUUUACAGUACAGUCGUAUCUCCUGUCAUAAGGAUAAGAAAGCGCUCUUAGUUCAGUUCGGUAGAACGCGGGUCUCCAAAACCCUCUGUCGUGGGUUCAAAUCCUACAGAGCG